AUAAGAUUGUAUUGAUUCAUCUACUUUUAUUUCAUAUAAUCUUCUACAUAAGGUUAAUGCAAUGGAUGUUGCUUCCAGUUUUCACGUGAAGAUAAUAUACUGUAGAAGUCUACAGAAAUAAAUGGGAUUGCGUGCAUGCAUUAUAUUUCUUACUUUACUAAUGACCAUUCUGUUCUUAUAUUUAAAGGGCCUCAAAGAUUAUGGCAUAUACACCAUUGAAUGCAUUGACUACAUGAAACGAGACAUGGACAAUCAAAGUCAAAGUUUUAAGACUUUGGAACACAAUUAACUUAUCAACUAAUGAGCUCAUUAGCAUUGAUAUAAUUUUAUUGGACAAAAGGGUGCAAGUAUUACAUAUAUAAUGUAACUUCAAUUUAUCCUUUCCAAAGUUUGCUGAUCUUUUCUUUCUAUGUAGGGCCAUGCGAUCCAUGCUUCUAUUGGGAGCAAACUGGUCAAUAAAUUUAAAUCAAAAAUUAAAGAGGACUCCAUAUACAUAAUUAAGACCUUCAAAGUCUUGGAGUAUGAAAAAUACCGACCAUUGAAGAACAAUCUCAAAAUCAAUUUUGUUUAUGAUACAACAGUGAAGGAAGUGGAUGAAGGAAAAUCAAAGUUUUUGAAUUACCACUUCGAAUUUGUUGAUGGCGAUACCUUGGAUAGUAGGGUGAAUACUGAUAAACAGUGCUCAGGUAUGAUCAUAAUCCAUAUCGAAGAACAAGCAUUGGCGAACUAGCUAGAUUUUAAAAUAUGAUUAUGUAUAGAUGUCAUUGGAUUGCUUACUGCAAUGAAACCAAUAGAGCAAGUACAAAAAAUAAAAGGGACGGGCAUGGCUCAAACUUCAAACAUCCGCGAGAUUGAAAUCCUUUUACUAGAGUAAGUGAUUCUAUUACUAUAUUUUUUUGAAUUGCAUAGAUGAUCUUUAUAUCACUUUUUGAUGAAUAAAUUCAUGCAGAGAUGAAAAGAUCCAAAUCACGCUAUGGGGGGAUAUUUUAGCAAAUACGGUGAACGAAAGUCUUUUGGACAAACAAACAAUAGUGAUUGUCACUUCAAAUUUGGUCAAAAAAUUCAAUGGUGAGAACUAGAAUCUUUUUGUGUAAACUCAAGUCCAAAUUACUGAUAAUUUGUUACCAGGGCUAUCACUACACACAACAAAUGCAUCUAAAAUCUUCCUCAACCCUGAAAUUCCAGAGGCAGACCAAAUUAUUGAGAGGUAUGCUAUAUAAUAAUGCAAUUAUGCAUGUCUUUAAAGUUACAAGUUUAUGUGCUCAUGUUGUGACCUAUUAUAGGUAUUGUGAAAGAGAUGUUAUUCCAACUAUGAUUGGAAUCGAUGAAAGCACCCAAGGAACAAUUGAAGAGCAAAUGUUGUACAACAGAAAAACAUUGAGGGAAAUUAUAGAAUUGCGAUAUGCUGAUGUCCAAAGAAAGGUUUCCCUCUAACCUUGAUCAUCAUAUUGUACCUUAUUUAUUGUACAUUAGUAUGUAAUAAUCUCAUAUAUUUUCUCUUUAAUAGGAAUUUGUAUGCACAACAAAAGCAACAAUUGAUGAUAUUAUAACAGAUAAAGGCUGGUGGUACAUGGCAUGCAAACUUUGCUUUGUGCUACAAAAAAGGAACAUGAUAACUACAUUUGCACUUCCUGUCAUGAAGUAGCUCAAAAUCCAGACAAGCGGUGAGCAUGUUGUGCACUAGAUUGUCUUUGGUUCCAUUUGUUUUAAUAAUAUACCACUAAUAACUUGACAACAUCAUAUUAGGUACCUACUUAAACUGAAGGUACGCGAUGGCACGGCAACAACAACUUUCGUGGUGUUUAACGAGGUAGCAAAGAGUCUUUUAGGAAACAUAUCUUCGUCGACCCUAUUAGAGCAGGAGGGAUUCAACAACACGGUACCAGAUGUUAUUCAAAAUCUUUAUGGCAGAACACUCCUAUUCCGACUGAAGUUAAAUUCAAGGAAUCUAGAAGAGUGUAUGGAAAAUUAUAAAGUGAGCUACACUUUUGAAGUUGAUGACAAACUUGAGAUGGAAAAUUCAAAUGAAAUGGCUGAAGAGGUAUGCAUGCACAUUUGAGUAUUUUAAAUGGCUUAUAAAAUUAUAAUAUGAGCACACUCUUUAUAGGGCAUACUGGAAAUGCAAGACACACGAGGUUCUUCAAAUUCUGAUAUGCACAAUUUCCAUUACGAGGUACUCCCACUAAUUAAUGAUUUUGCUCUCACAAGUGUGCAAUUUUUGUUUUUAAAUGUUAAAAAAUAAUUUUCAUUCUUAUAGGUGAACCAGUCCUCCAAGAAUGCAACAAAUGAUGAGAAGAAGGAUAUGUGCAGAAAGGAAACCUCAAUAUCAUCCAACAAAAAACAACAACGGAGGACAAAGAUACAGAAGUCUAGCAAAAGAUAUGAAAAAGAUGUGAGACCGGUUGCUUCUAGAACAGUUGUUAAAACGGAAGCUCCUGAUGAUGAGGUAACAAAUUGAAAACAUUAUCUCCCUGUAUCUGCAUUCAUAAUUGAUUUUGGCCUAUUUAUUUAUGACAUAACAAAAUGCACAGGAAGAGCCAAAAACUUUUCCGCAGAAGAUAAAAGGAGAGACAAAACAAAAGAGAUGUAAGCAGGAUUUUAAAAGAAAGGCUUCGCGAAAUAAAAAAAAGGUUCUUACAGAAAAAUCAAAUAAUGAGGUAUGCUUUGAAAUUACUUUACUAUUUUAUGACAUCGUUGAAAAAAAUGAAAAUGUAUUUGAAAAGGAGGUAGCAAACAUUCAAGCUACAAGUUCAGAUACAAUUACCAUAGAAGAUGAUUCUAAUAAUUACCGCAGACAAAACAAGACAGAUGUCAGAAGGCCUACCAACAAGAAACUCAGAAGAGUUAUGAACAAAAUCAAAUUCAAUAGUGAGGAGAAAUGUACAUACUUGUUCUAUAUUGUUUUUAAGAUAAACACAAAGUUCUAUUGUGUUCUAAAUUGACAUAUUUUAUGUAUAGGUACAAGAUGAAGAAGAAGAAGGAGGAGAAGAAGAAGAAGAAGAAGAAUAAGAAGAAAAUGAUGUAACCGUAGAUCCAAGAUAUAACAAAGAUUUCAGAAAUGACAACCACAACGAGGGAUAUAAAAAUCCUGCGACCAAGGUUGCUUCUGCGAAGCUCAAAAAAACAAUACAGAAUUAUAGAUGAAUACAUCCCACCUUAAAUAUCUAUUAACAAUAUGCUCUAUGAUGUUCAUUUAAACUACCGCCAUCUUAUAGGUACUAGAGGAAGAAAAUGACAUAGAUGAUGAUUCCGACAAUGAAGAAACCAAUAAUGAGGUAAUAUCAAAUAAAAGGAAAAGGAUUUAAUUUUAAAUAUAUUAUUUCCAAAAUAUAAAAUCAUUGUAUGAAAUAAUAAUCCAUUAGUGUAUUGGUCAUUUCCUACUUUAGUCUAAUAUUAUGUAUGCAUUUCAUCAUAUAUGUAUUACAUAAUACAUUAUUAAAUUCCCACAUUCUAUGUUACAGGUACAAGAGGAAGGAAAUGACACAGAUGGUGAUCUCACAAUUGAAGAAAGUACAAGAAUGAACAAGGUAAAUACGUUGAUGAUAUACAAGCUUAAUAUCUACCAUGAAUUUAGAGAAAUUUACAAAUGUUUCAUUAAUAACAUUGUUUUUGCAUAUAUGCAGGGAGACAACAAUAGUCAUGCCGACAACUGUACCAUCAAAGGUGACAAUGAUGAAGAAUGGAACACCAAAACUAGAAGCAAAAUUGAAAGGGAUCGAGAAGAGGUGUCUAGAGGGGGGGUGAUUAGACACUAAGUACCAAAAAUUGCAGUUUUUAACUUCUUUAAGUUUAAGUGGAGUUUAGGCACAAGUUUAACACUCACAAUACAUAACAAGAAAGCAUGCAAAGAGAAUAUGAGCAGCGGAAAGUAAAGCAUGCAACUUGCAAGAAUGUAAAGGGAAGGGAUUGGAGGAUUCAAACGCAAUUGGAGACACGGAUGUUUUUGUCGUGGUUCCGAUAGGUGGUGCUAACGUACAUCCAUGUUGAUGGAGACUUCAACCCACGAAGGGUAACGGUUGCGCGAGUCCACGGAGGGCUCCACCCACGAAGGGUCCACGAAGAAGCAACCUUGUCUAUCCCACCAUGGUCGUCGCCCACGAAGGACUUGCCUCACUAGCGGUAGAUCUUCAUGAAGUGGGCGAUCUCCUUGCCCUUACAAACUCCUUGGUUCAACUCCACAAUCUUGUCGUAGGCUCCCAACUGACACCUAGCCAAUCUAGGAGACACCACUCUCCAAGAAGUAACAAAUGGUGUGUUGAUGAUGAACUCCUUGCUCUUGUGCUUCAAAUGAUAGUCUCCCUAACACUCAACUCUCUCUCAUAGUAUUUGGAUUUGGUGGAAAGAAGAUUUGAGUGGAAAGCAACUUGGGGAAGGCUAGAGAUCAAGAUUCAUAUGGUAGGAAUGGAAUAUCUUGGCCUCAACACAUGAGUAGGUGGUUCUCUCUCAAAAAAUGUAUGCUGGAAGUGUAGGUUCGUUCUGAUGGCUCUCUCUACGAAUGAAGAGGAGGUGGAGGGGUAUAUAUAGCCUCCACACAAAAUCGAAUCGUUACACACAACUUGCCAAACUCGAUGGGACCGAAUUGGUAAACUCGGUCAGACUGAUUCGGCAAAUCUAGUGACCGUUAGGAUUUUCGGUGGGACCGACAUGCAACUCGGUAGGACCGAUAUGGUUAGGGUUAGGGCAUAACUUAAUCUCGGUGAGACUGAUUACACAAACUCGGUAGGACCGAUUUUGGUAAUAAGCUAACCAGAGAGUUGGUCAGGAAAACUCGGUUUGACCGAUUACACAAACUCGGUAGGACCGAUUUUGGUAAUAAGUUAACCAGAGAGUUUGCAUUGUAAUCUCGGUAGUACCAAUUACUCUAACUCGAUAGGACCGAUUUUGGUAAUGGACAUACACAAAGAGAUUACAAUCCCAUCUCGGUGAGACCGAGAUCCCUAUCGGUGAGACCGAUUUGCCUAGGGAUUGUGGCAGUGGCUAAGACAUCUGAACUCGGUGGCGCCGGGUGGAAAGAAUCGGUAGGGCCGAGUUAGACUUUUGGGUUUAGGACAUAUGUGGAUGUGAGAAAGUAGUUGAGGGCUUUGGAGCAUAUCACUAAGCACUUUGAACAAGCAAGCCAUUAAGCAACACCUCAUCCCCUCUUGAUAGUAUUGGCUUUUCCUAUAGACUCAAUGUGAUCUUGGAUCACUAAAAUAGAAAAUGUAGAGUCUUGUUCUUGAAGCUUGAGCCAAUCCUUUGUCCUUAGCAUCUUGAAGGGUUUCCACAUCCUUUAGUCCAUGCCACUCCAUUGUUGAACUUGUCUGAAACAUACUAGGUAAAAGUGUUAGUCCAACAAGAGAUAUGUUGACAUUCAUUACCAAAAUCACCCAGGGAGCACUUGUUCUUUCAGUCUCCCCCUUUUUGGUAAUUGAUGACAACAUACAUCAAAGCUUUAGAUCAAGAUAUAGAGAAUAGCAAGUAAAGCUUUGGAAAGACGUGUAACAUGCAUAGGCUCCCCCUACAUGUAUGUGAAUAUGGAAUAUAGGAGCAUGUGAAUGCAUAAGCAUGAUAGAGUAGGCAAUGUGUUACAUGUAUCUUGGUUAUAUGCAUCAGAGCAAUAGAUGUGAAUAUGGGAAAUGUACCUUCAUGCUCAUGAGUCCUUCUUGCAAACAGUAUGUACAUCAGCAAGAACUCCUCAUACACAUGACUGUGAUGCAUAUACUUACCUUGUGGUCUUGAGUUGGCUUAGGAUGGAAUGAACCUGCGUAAACAAGGUUAGAUAACACAGAUACACCUACUAGCUAGAGCAAACAAAACGAACCACAAGAGUACCAAGACUGGGAUGACAUGUAGAGAGUGAGUACUAAGUACCAUAUUGAAUAUGGACAUGUCCCCAAAGGUAAAGAUGUGCAAUGAAUUUAAAGUUUCUUUCCCUUAGAUGUCUUGCUCCCCCUGAAUCUAGCAUGGGAUACUGGGAGAAGAUAGGGAACAGAAAAUCAGAGCAAAAUGCAAAAUCAAAGCUCAAAGAAACAAAUGAACAGAGCUAAUGAAAAUAAGCACAUAUGAAUAUGUCUUCCUCCCCAAGAAGACAUGUGGCAUCUCUCCUCUUGAACACCAAGCAUCUGGGAUCCUUGAAGAUUACUCUCUUCUUGAGUAUUCUCUCCCCCUGGAGAUAUCUCUCUCCCCCUGUUGAAGUGAUAAGCUUUGAUGUGAUCUCUCUCUCCCCCUUUGACAUCAAUUUCCAAGAAGGGUCUUCUGGAAUUUGUCGUAAAUGGAUUUGGUCCUUGAGUCACAACACAAUGCAUUGAUAAAAAUGUGAUGCUUGUAGAGGAAAAGAUUCAUUGAGUGGUGCUAAAAAUAAUAAUGCAGUGGCAAAAUGUUUUUCUUGUUGUGAAAUCGGUGGCACCGAGUUGGAUGCUUCGGUUGCACCGAAAGGAUUCGGUUAGACCGAAAACAUCAAACCGGUGAGACCGAGUUCAUCACAGAGAAAACACUUGUCACCUCAGUUCACUAGACAAGUAAGAUCUCACAAGGAUUUGCAAUGAAUUGGAUGCAGGGAAUGCAGAACAGAAUAGAAAAAAGAAAUCUAGAUGAAGUUUUUUUUGGUAGGGGAAACAAAUAUGCAUGAGACAAAUGCAAGAGCAUAGAAAAGAACACGAGAGAACUUCAUCUAGAAUUGGUCGGCGACAAAGUCACCUAUGUUAGAGUAUAUUGACUUAGGAGUCAAGUGAGAUCACUUGAUCAUAGGUCAUACUCAUCGUUUAAGCUCAAAAUGGGGUUACCAUUUUUCGUUUAAGCAUCUUGAUGUAUUCACAUCUUGUCGAGUUGCUUUGACUCAUGACUUGGAGUAAAGCUCCUCUAAGAUGGAAUAACAUACCUUGGGUGGUGGUGUUGAUUGUGAUCACGUAGUUGAACUUGUGUGGGUUGCUCAAGGUUGAUGUAGCUCAUCAAGAGUUUGGAGCACCACUUGGAAUUUGAGUUCACCUACCCACAUGGGUUAGUUUUUGCAAGGAAGAGCACUUGUGUAUCCAAAAAGACAAUCAUGAAGCUUAACAUAGAAUUUGUCAAAGGAUAUGUUUGAAUGGUUUCGUGCUUCCUUGUCUUCGACCACCAUUGUGUAGAGACUUGGUGAUGUAGAGAUUCCUCAAGAUGUGAGAGAGUUGCAAUCCCAUAGAUUUAAAUUCAUCCAAGGACCUACAUGGGUUAGAUAACAUGCAAGGUGCAAAUAUACCCACGACAUAAGAUUAUCAUCAUAAGAAAGGAUUAGUCAUAGGCUCAUGUCUUGCAUGUAUCCAAUGGAGUUCCUACUCCAAGUUUGAAGCAUCAAUGAUGUUCAAUUCACCUCUUAACCUGCAGUUGGCAGUGGCUUGAAACCGUCGAAGAUCAAGUCUCCGCGGACGUCAGCCGUACAGUUCAAACUUCCAAAUCUGACCUGAUGGCCAGGGGCGUAGCUUUCAAUCUGCUCCAGAUGGCCAAGCGAAUUGGCCCGCAGUGCGAAGCCGCCGAAUAUGAAGAUCUGUCCGGGGAGAAAAGUCUCACCCUGGACCGCAUCAUUGUUGAUGAUCGGAGGAGCCAUCGGGCCUAAAGAUGACGACACAUAGGAACUCUCAAUGAAAGCACUAAUGUCUGUGUCAAAACCGGCGGAUCUCGGGUAGGGGGUCCCGAACUGUGCGUCUAGGCGGAUGGUAGCAUGAGACAAGGGACACGAUGUUUUUACCCAGGUUCGGGCCCUCUCGAUGGAGGUAAAACCCUACUCCUGCUUGAUUAAUAUUGAUGAUAUGGGUAGUACAAGAGUAGAUCUACCACGAGAUCAAAGAGGCUAAACCCUAGAAGCUAGCCUAUGGUAUGAUUGUUGUUCGUCCUACGGACUAAAACCCUCCGGUUUAUAUAGGCACCGAAGAGGGUUAGGGUUACACAGAGUCAGUUACAAUGGUAGGAGAUCUACAUAUCCGUAUCGCCAAGCCUGCCUUCCACGCCAAGGGAAGUCCCAUCCGGACACGGGACGAAGUCUUCAAUCUUGUAUCUUCAUAGUCCAGGAGUCCGGCCAAAGGUGAUAGUUCGGCUAUCCGGACACCCCCUAAUCCAGGACUCCCUCACUUCGCUUGCACCUUGUCGGCAGGCUGAUACCUUCCACAACCGGAAGCACCGCCGUGCUCCUUGGAGCAUAUCCACGAGCUCCCCCAUGCCUCCUGGCAGGGAAGUGGAUGGCCACAAGGACUGGGCAAUACCCUGCAUCACCUGCCAAACUCGUUCGUGCAGUUGUGAGAGAUCUUGCAGUAAAUCGCCUGCGGACCCGGGCAUCUCCUCUUCAGGACGGCCCGUCAGCAUACCUACAGAUAUAAACUCUUUUAAAAUGCUUCCUAGCUGAACUGUACUGCAGUUCGUUUAGGCACUUACCAUAAAUGCCGCAACGAAGCCUCUUGUUCUCCUUAACGGAGUCCGCCAGCUGAGCUCGAACAUCUGCUAAUUCGACGCCCAGCCGGACGUUGGCAUCUUGGAGAUUGUUCUUCUCCUGCCUAACCUGCGUAAGCACACGCUCGCCAGCCUUUAGCUGUCUUUGGAGAUGUGACUCACUAUCUCUUACGAUCUCCGGAUUCUCUCCAGGAUUGUUUGCAGAAUUUUCUGUUAGACUUAUAAAGCAAGCCAAUUACUAACUGGUAUAUUUCCUUAAAAUUUCUCUAUUAAGACAAAUGUUACCAGAUGAGGCCUUCUGGGAUUCCUCUAGUUUGGCAACUGCGGCCCUCAGCUGGGUCUUGCACUCCUCCAGCUCUUGAGACAAAUGGGUAUUCUUCUCUACAAGAACUUGUGCAUAAAAUGAUCCUUAAAUUAGUUGUUCCAACUGUUUCAAGUCUCAGGGGCUACUGCUAUACAUGCUUAUCAAAUUUUAUUACCCGUAUAUCUUUCACACACUGGUCUGACGCUCGGGCGAGCCCGUCUUGGGAAGCUCGAAUGUAUGCGUCUCCUGAAUUGAAAGCAUUGAAUGCCUCUUCGAAAAAGAUACUAUUGCAAAGUACGGCCCGUUGGCGCCGGUGAUUCAUGGCACUCUCUACUUCGGAAUUUGUGGCGGAGAGCCUAUCUGCAUCCUCUAUCGGAGGACAAUUCGGCAUAGGCCCCGCAUUGGCUCCUCCCUCGAAGCCAGUUCUGGAAUCCGGCUGGUGGAGGCAUGAUCGGCAGGAUCUCCGGAUGUAGUCCGGCAACUACUCUUUCUGCCAGGACACGAUGGACGCUUGUCAGGACCCCGACUCAAUGCCACAUCGAUCUAGCAUGUAACACCUCAUAUCACUUUGCGGCCUCACGCACGGUAUUCCCACGGGUGUCGCCUUACCUUUGCACGGGACCGUUUGCGCCUUUUGGCACACGUAUAUGACAGUGUCGCUAGCAUCCAUAUGAUAAGGAGCCCGGGCUGACAUGGCUAGUCGUAAACCCAAAGUGGCACAGACUUACAGGGACAGGCAUCCAUGACCCAGCAUCGAACGUGUCGGUCAUCAGCGAGUGAAUCCAGGCUGUAGCACUGGGCUAGCAGGACUCCGGUGAACCGGGCUGUAGCGGGCUAACAGGACUCUGGUAUUCAUCGCGUGACAUUUCCCCGAAGGGACAGACACAGGAACGAAGAAGGACACAUGCCGGCCAGCCUAAGUAUUCUGGAGCAGUAGCAAGCUACCAUGGCUCAGUGAAACACUAGGAGACAUUUCCCCGUAAGAGAGGCUACUAAAGAUAAACAACUAGAUGGUCAGAUCCCACACAUACCAAGCAUUUCAAUAACAUACACACAAUAUGCUCGAUAUGUGCAAAUACAACAUGGCAUCACAACAUGACUCUACGACUCAAGUAUUUAUUCAAUAGGCUCCGAGGAGCGAGAUAUUACAAACAUGGGUCUUAUGACCCAACAAUCAGAGCAUACAAGUCAAAACACAAGCGGAAGCUAUCAUGUCUGAGUACAGACAUCUAUAAAUGAAAAAGGCUGAGAAGCCUGACUAUCUACUAGAUCCUGCCGAGGCACAAGAUCAUAGCUGAGGUAACAAGCUAAACGUCGAAGUCCACGCGGCACUACUAGCGAGACCGAAGUCUCUCUGCAAAAACAUAAAUAGGCAAACGUGAGUACAAAUGUACCCAGCAAGACUUACAUCAGAACUAACUACAUAUGCUUCAUUAUCAACAAAGGGGAUGGUGGGGUUUAACUGCAGCAAGCUAGCUUUGACUCGGUGGCUAUCCUGAACUACGACUGCAAGUAACUCUUUUGAGGUGGCGCACACGAGUCCACAUAUUCACCAUAUCAAUACACCACUAUGGAUCCGCUCCCGUCUCCCUACGAGAACGCCAUCCAUAGCACUCACGCUUAUCUUGCGUAUUUUAGAGUAUCCACUUUCACUUGUCUAUGAACUGAUAUAAGCAACCCAGAAGUCCUUUUCCGCGGACACGGCUAUUCGAAUAGAUGAUGUUAACCCUGCAGGGGGUGUACUUCUUCACACACGCUCUCACCACUUACCGCCAUUUACACGACAUGUACUCGGCAACCUUCAAGCGGAAGCCCAACGUGGGUGUCGGCCACGGCCUGCCUAAACACUCAAGUCUCUAGUCCAGGUUUAUCGCCUAUUCGGGUUCCAUCCAUGAGGAGAUCCGGCCGGAGUUUCGCUCACAGCCCCAAACGAUGUGAACAGGGUUCCCGAGACACCAAACGGGCGCCCGGUACACCGUGCCACGUGCCUACCGCAUCACAGCCCACCCCUACGGUCAGCGCUGCGCACGGCCUCCAGCAUACUACAAACACCAGAAACUACUUGCAACUCCUGGACAGAGGACAAGGGUGAUUAAGAAGCCGAGAGGGUCCAUUGGUUUCGGGCCCAAUGCGUGGUAGUAGCUGAAUCAUGGAUCACAAACACAGAACUCAGUUCCUGAGGACGGCUGCAAUGAGACAACCCACCAUGUACUCCUACAUGGCCUCUCACCGCUACCUUUACCAAAUCGUGUUCACACGCUUAGCUCACACACUGUAGGACAUGUUCACACACCUCUGAUUCAUCCCGGAUGAAUCAGACCUGACUCAACUCUAAGCAGUAGCAGGCAUGACAAACAAGCAUGAAUGAGUAGGCACAUGAGGGCUCAAACAACUCCUACUCAUGCUAGUGGGUUUCAUCUAUUUACUGUGGCAAUGACAGGUCAUGCAAAGGAUAAAGGGUUCAGCUACCGCAACAAGUAACAGUUGAAUCGUUGUUGUCCUAAUGCAGUAAAAGAGAGCAGGAGCGAGAGAGUAGGAUUGUAUCGGAAUGAACAAGGGGGUUUUGCUUGCCUGGCACUUCUGAAGAUAACAUUGAGUCUUCAUCAGUGUCAACGAUCACAUCAUCGGUAUCACGUCUAUCGAGAGGGGACAAAUACCGGCAACACAGAAGGGAACACAAUCAAUGCUAUGCACAAUAUGAUGCAUGAUCAUGACAUGGCAAAAUGAAUGUGUUUUGAGCUAAUGCAACUAGCAACAGAUUAAAUGAAGUUGGUUUGAAUACAAGAUUCAAAUUCAAACUCCAUAUGUGAUUAUUCAAAUGCCAUUUAAUUGAUUUGUGCUAAACAGCAGCUAUAAGUUGUUCUAACAUGCAUGAAAGUGGUACAGAUGGAUUCCUUGAAUUUUUCUGAUAAUUUUUCAUAUAUAAUUUAUUUAAUUUGGAGUUACGGUUAAUUUUCUAUGAUUUUUAGAAGUUUUAGGCAUUUUCUGGAAUUUCCUGAAUAAUAUUAAAUCCAGAAAUGAUUAUGGCGUCAGCACCACGUCACAGUGACGUCAGCAGGGUCAACUGGGCGCCCCAGGUCAAACCUGACGUGUGGGACCCGAGUGUCAGUGUCUAACUAAACUAACCUAGCUCAGUUAAUACUAACCUAACUUAAUUAGCCGGGCGGGGCCCGCAUGUCAGUGGGAGAGAGGGGGGUCAAACCAGGCAGUGGGGUCAACCCACGCCGGUCAUCGGAUCAGCGGUCGCCGGCGUUUAACCGCCGGCGAGCCCGACGCGGCGGCGAGAGUGGUUUUGGUCGUUUCGGCAACCAAACGAGCCGCGGAGGGUGGCUAUGGGUAGCUGGGAACAUGCCGCCACUUCUGGUGGAGUCGGUUGGGGUCGGGGCGGCCAGAAUCGGCGCCGGCGACGACCUAGGUGGCCGCCGGAGUUCGGGCGAGGUCGGGGUUGGCGUUAGGGGGCACGGGAGGGGAAGCUGGUGUGUGUGUUAGGUUCCUGGUGAGGUGUGGAGCACGUUGCCGUGCUCGGUAGCUAGCUCCGGUGGCUCUGGCCUUGUCCGCGUCAUCGCCGGCGGCGAGGAGCUCACGGCCCCGGUGAAAAGGGCGGCUAGCGUGCGGGAACGAGCGCGGGAAGGAGGGGAAAUGGAAGAGGAGCUCACAGCGGAUCCGGUAGAGGCAACGGCGAGGCCGGGGAGGGGCUGGAGCUCGCGAAUCCUCGAAAGUUCGCCGGCGGCCGAAGGUUGGGGACGAGCUCCGGGAAGACGCUACAGGGCUCCCGCGGUCGAAUGGGUUGGUGUAGAAGACGUAGAAGGCGAUGGCGGUUCCUCUGAACUCAUCGGAGAGGCACGGGGUGGACGGUGGCCGUGGUGAUGCUCGUCGGCGGCGGCGGGUGUGUUCGGUCCGGGCGGGAGAGAGGGAGCAGAGGAGGGAGGUUCGAGGGGGGAGAGUGAGCGAAACGGUCAGCGGGAUCGGGACGGCCUGCGGGAGUCGUCCACGCGUCCAGGGGCUCGUCGGCAAGCAGGAGGUGGCCGCGCGGCCGUGCGCGUGCGAGCACGCAGCUGCUUCGGGGCGAGGGGAGGAAGACGACGGAGGGCUGCAGUGGUGGGCUGGGCCGGCUUCUGCAGCAGGCCGCACAGGUAGGCGCCAGGUAAGUACUCUCUCUCUCUCUCUCUCUGUUUCCUCUUUUCUAUUUUCUGCAAUUUGUUUUUGAUUUGAUUUAAAAUAUCAAAUCAUUUAAUAAAAUCCUAGAAACAAUUAUGGGUGCUUUCUGAAUUAUUUCAGUGACCCUUAACAAUUUCCAACAUUUAUUUGAACAUUUAAAUUAUUUAUAGUAUUUAAAUGCCCAAAGUCAAAUACAAUAUGGUUUACUCAAAAAUCCAAAAAUGUCUUGGAAAAAUAUCCAUCAUCUCUGGAAAUGGUUUUCACCCUUUUCCAUUAAUCAUGAACAUUUUUGCAAACCAAUUUGGGUUCUUUGAAAAAUAUUUUGAAGUUGAACCUAUUUGCAUUGCUUUGGUGCUAGGGCUUGGUCCUCCCCAUUUCAAAUUUCAUGAACUUCAAACAUGAUGCAUGAAUGCCUUGAUGCAACUAAUGACAGACAAAUUCUAGGGCUGUGACAACUCACCCCCACUAAACAAGAAUCUCGACCCGAGAUUCAAGCGUAGGGUAGGAUGAAGGGGGAACGCAAAUUAACAUAAUCUUCACGAUCCAGGUUGCACAUCACAAGAUUGUUGAUUUGAUCCUCAUCUUUGUCUCGGCGUCUUGCUUUGAGAACUCCAGCCAACAUGACAACGAGAAGAAAGGAAAACUCUAGAACAAUCGAUCUUCGAGAAGACCGAACAACUCAGGAUCAUCUCAUGGGAUGAGACAUAGCAGCAUCUCUCGAGCUGAGACACGAGAUGCACAUCAAGAGGGGUGGAAAGAAACGGAUGACGAAGGUUCACUAGGUGGACAAUAAUUCCACGCUUAAGAAGGUGGUGAACGGUUGUCAACGUAGCGAGGAGUUGAGUUGCCAUGACACCAUAAUGAUGCACCUUAGGGGUGGUGACUCAUAGAAAUAUCCCCUUAAGUGGCAAAAAGAAUUACCUUUGAUUUAAAGAUCAUUGAAACUCUUUAUACCAGCUUAAGGCAAUCAUAAUCGAUCAUUUAGAGGGGUUCGGUAGAAAGGCAUACCCGGACUUGGAUGAUGUGGAUUACAUUGUUGAAGACAACGUAAUGGAUGAAUUUGCUUAUCGCCGGAAAUGGAAGAGACCCAUGGUAGAAUGGCACAUUAGCGGUGCAAGCUGGGAACAAAAUGCAAUGCUGGGAAUGAUUCUGGAAACUGGGGAAGAACCCACAAUAGAGAGUGAAUUCACUGUUUGAAAAGGUCAUAGUAUUGCCGAGGAAACUGAGAGCAAUCCAAUUAGUACCGAUGAUAACACCUAGCGCUUGGGUGUGCUCUCAAGAACUUGAGCAUUUCCAUAAUUAUCAAGGUUUUACCAAUAUCCGUGUCAAGGAUUCUGGCAACACAACUUACUACCAUGAUGAAUGAGGAAGGAUGAUGUAGAUGCAAAGGAAGAUAACACUUUCUCAGAUUUCACCUUAGCGAGGCCAAGGAAACAAAAUCUGGAUGAUCGACCGAGAGACAUUUAGCACUUCGCUUCUAAUGUUCUCCUUGAUGUGCUAGUGUAACCCAUUCAUAGAUAUGGUUUGAUAUCUAGAACAUCAAGUAAAAGGUCGGACUUCGGGAUCUCAGAAAUCCAUAGGGGCAACUAGGGAGUAAAUCCUACGAAAUCCCUAUGGGGGGGGGUGGCCAACUUCUUCAAUCAAGAUACUGCAAUAAUAGGUCUUCCAGUGGGGUGUGUUGACCACGACAUCCACUUUAUCGGUUUCCGAGGGACCGAUAUUAUAGUUCUUGGGAAAUGUUCCAAACCAUCAUAUCUGCCUGAGAUUCAGAUCUGGUUAGUGUCAGGAUAUUCCAGACUCAUCGAGUCUAGGAAGAAAAACGAAAGUUUGCAACACGAAUCGACGAGAUGACGUUGCGAGAUUCUCGGGGAAUGAACUACGAUAGCAAGCUCCAAAACAUGAGCUGGUUCUGCUACACACAUGUGAACACGCUGUCUCAGACAGGCAUGACCACAUAGUAGUCUUAUAAUAAAACACUACCGAGUUAAGGUGGGGAACCAUCAUCGAUGAUAGUGAAGUCUCCACGCGUGGAAGUCCAAAGAGUUCACCUUAGACAGACUUCUUAUCUCCGAACAACUCAAUCAGUGGCUUGGUGUGCUAGGGAUACAUAUGGAAUGAAGGUUGCAAGUCUCCAAACCACAGAAUUCUUCGCACGUAUGCAUAAUUGAUUUGGGAUGAUUCCAAAGGGAGCAACAUUGACUUUCUCGACUCCACGGCGGCAACUUGCAUCAGAUGCACAUGUAUAAGAGUAAGUCACUUCUUUCAUCCGAACAUAUGCUUCAUGAACGGAACACGAAGAUAAUGCAUAUAUAAGUUUCCAACACUAGCUUAAUGUUCAACAAAAUUAUGGACAAGAUAAAAAUGUUGCUCAUGGACUCAACAACAAUUCAUCCAGGUUUCCAUAUAAGUGGAAUUCCACAAUUAUGUGAACAAGGUGAUAGCAUUGGUCAGACCCAAAAGAUAUAAUGGUGUAUGCUCGAAGAAACAACUACGAGUAAGACAACAUUACGAAUAUCGUUGGUUCUGAUUUGAUUUGACGAUAGCUCAUACUCAAAUCAAAGAUGGGGUAGGACAAUAGGUCCAACAACUGAUCACAAGGACUAAUUGAUGAAGAUAUCAUCUUUCUUCAACACACACUACACAAGAAUAUUCCUUUGGAACGAACUAAGUUAGGCAAGCUUUUAUCUUCCAAUUCUCCAAGUUGUUGUCUAGCUUAACCAACUAGCUCAGGGAUAUCUAACACCGAUUUUUGGAGGGAAGGUGGUUCACAGGAAUAAACCAACUUGAUCACGAGCUCAACAUAACAGUCAGGGGACAACCUGGUAAUACUUCCGAGAAGAUAUUCGGAAAAUCACGAACCACCGGUAUGUUACUAAGCUCGAGAACAAUCUUGCUUUUCAGGGCAAGACGAUAUGAUCAAUAGAGAAAGGAUUUGAAAUAAUCCUAACUCAUCGAUCGAGGAGUGAGCCAGGAGAAUGGACUAGGUAGCACGAUCAAUCUUAGAAUGAUGAUUCAAUAACCAACACACUAAGAAUGAAAUUAUUGUCCUUUAACUACCCAACAACGAGGUUGCUAGGCGUAUUGAUUUCACACGUCACAAUUCAUUUGUCGGUAUUCCGGUUGCAUCAACACGAGGGCCGAGGAAUGACUAAUGAUGGUGAGAAGUAUCACUACGUCAAAAUUCAUGAGAGUUGGUGCAGUUCUCAUGACAAUUCUGACAUAAAGGGGGUAAUACUCCAAGGUAGAACAGAACCAAAAGCUGGAUUGGCAUUUGAUCUGCGGCAUACAACUUCUUUGACUCAAUCCUGGAUACGGAUGAGGUACUGGAGUUUGUUUCUCCUAGUCAUUCUGGAAUAGAAUGGCUUGACGGACCACAAGAAUAAUAGGCAUCGAUGAACGACCGCACACAUACUCUUGACUAUCAAUUGAUAGACGAAGGUCAGUAGACAACUAAAGAGGGACAACUCAAAGGAACAAAUAACUUUCUGAGUUGUGGAUGCAUAGAUUAGUAUGUCGAACCAAGUUCAACAUAAUUCUUCCGGAUAACCCAUGCAGAAAGGUUGAGCUGGCAGAGUCACAAUAUAGCAUGGAGAACUCAUCGAGAGCACUCUUGUUGUGAUUGUUCAGUUCAACGAGGAACUUCUGCCAUAAGUAGUUCAUGGUAUUUGGAAGAAGAAGAUACCACGGACUUCAAGGACUAUCGCAAAGGUUACUAAUAACCUAAGGGAGCUAGCAAUUAUUAUCAACAUGAAGUAAGUAGGGUGAAUCUCGGGUUCAAGAACCCAGGAAUAGAAUACCUACUAACUAAAUGGCAUCGCGGGAUGCUUUCGAUAAUGACGGCCAGAAUCAUCACACUAGGAACACAAAACAUAGGUAGACUACUAGAUGAUCCCCUGAGACACCUAGGGUCAUAAUAAUAGCUCCAACAUAUAUGUCAAGGCAAUAAUUUACCUCAACUCACCGAUUAGUGUGGUUAAUCUGGCCCAAAGGAACAUCGGAACGGGAGGAAGGGAUUUUGCAAAUGCUUCAGACUAUUCAGAAACCUGGGAUGACUCGGACAGCAUAACGGCUGUAAAUGCUCAGAAAAGAUUUGAGACAUUCACAAAAAUGGUGGCAUAACCACUCAGGAGCAUAAUAUCAAGGUCUCGAGAUCAAUAAUUAACAUACAGAGGUAGAAACUGAACUGAGGCCUAAUCCAACAAUCUUAUAAGUCUACGGAUUAGUAACACGUGAUCCUGAUAGAAAGAAGAGAUAGCCUAGUUCUUAAUCCCCAUAGAAGAGAAGAGGUUGACUCAGAUCAGAAGGCCAUGAGGUAUAAGGAGUAAAAAGAGCCUUACGUUCCCUUCCACAAUCAAUUCCCUUAUAUAACUAAAGAAUUUCUAGACUCAACUUCGACCAGUUUGGCUUGGUAAUCCUACAGGCAGUCAAGCUCUGAUACCAACGCUGUCAGGACCCCGACUCAAUGCCACAUCGAUCUAGCAUGUAACACCUCAUAUCACUUUGCGGCCUCACGCACGGUAUUCCCACGGGUGUCGCCUUACCUUUGCACGGGACCGUUUGCGCCUUUUGGCACACGUAUAUGACAGUGUCGCUAGCAUCCAUAUGAUAAGGAGCCCGGGCUGACAUGGCUAGUCGUAAACCCAAAGUGGCACAGACUUACAGGGACAGGCAUCCAUGACCCAGCAUCGAAUGUGUCGGUCAUCAGCGAGUGAAUCCAGGCUGUAGCACUGGGCUAGCAGGACUCCGGUGAACCGGGCUGUAGCGGGCUAACAGGACUCUGGUAUUCAUCGCGUGACAUUUCCCCGAAGGGACAGACACAGGAACGAAGAAGGAUACAUGCCGGCCAGCCUAAGUAUUCUGGAGCAGUAGCAAGCUACCAUGGCUCAGUGAAACACUAGGAGACAUUUCCCCGUAAGAGAGGCUACUAAAGAUAAACAACUAGAUGGUCAGAUCCCACACAUACCAAGCAUUUCAAUAACAUACACACAAUAUGCUCGAUAUGUGCAAAUACAACAUGGCAUCACAACAUGACUCUACGACUCAAGUAUUUAUUCAAUAGGCUCCGAGGAGCGAGAUAUUACAAACAUGGGUCUUAUGACCCAACAAUCAGAGCAUACAAGUCAAAACACAAGCGGAAGCUAUCAUGUCUGAGUACAGACAUCUAUAAAUGAAAAAGGCUGAGAAGCCUGACUAUCUACUAGAUCCUGCCGAGGCACAAGAUCAUAGCUGAGGUAACAAGCUAAACGUCGAAGUCCACGCGGCACUACUAGCGAGACCGAAGUCUCUCUGCAAAAACAUAAAUAGGCAAACGUGAGUACAAAUGUACCCAGCAAGACUUACAUCAGAACUAACUACAUAUGCUUCAUUAUCAACAAAGGGGAUGGUGGGGUUUAACUGCAGCAAGCCAGCUUUGACUCGGUGGCUAUCCUGAACUACGACUGCAAGUAACUCUUUUGAGGUGGCGCACACGAGUCCACAUAUUCACCAUAUCAAUACACCACUAUGGAUCCGCUCCCGUCUCCCUACGAGAACGCCAUCCAUAGCACUCACGCUUAUCUUGCGUAUUUUAGAGUAUCCACUUUCACUUGUCUAUGAACUGAUAUAAGCAACCCAGAAGUCCUUUUCCGCGGACACGGCUAUUCGAAUAGAUGAUGUUAACCCUGCAGGGGGUGUACUUCUUCACACACGCUCUCACCACUUACCGCCGUUUACACGACAUGUACUCGGCAACCUUCAAGCGGAAGCCCAACGUGGGUGUCGGCCACGGCCUGCCUAAACACUCAAGUCUCUAGUCCAGGUUUAUCGCCUAUUCGGGUUCCAUCCAUGAGGAGAUCCGGCCGGAGUUUCGCUCACAGCCCCAAACGAUGUGAACAGGGUUCCCGAGACACCAAACGGGCGCCCGGUACACCGUGCCACGUGCCUACCGCAUCACAGCCCACCCCUACGGUCAGCGCUGCACACGGCCUCCAGCAUACUACAAACACCAGAAACUACUUGCAACUCCUGGACAGAGGACAAGGGUGAUUAAGAAGCCGAGAGGGUCCAUUGGUUUCGGGCCCAAUGCGUGGUAGUAGCUGAAUCAUGGAUCACAAACACAGAACUCAGUUCCUGAGGACGGCUGCAAUGAGACAACCCACCAUGUACUCCUACAUGGCCUCUCACCGCUACCUUUACCAAAUCGUGUUCACACGCUUAGCUCACACACCGUAGGACAUGUUCACACACCUCUGAUUCAUCCCGGAUGAAUCAGACCUGACUCAACUCUAAGCAGUAGCAGGCAUGACAAACAAGCAUGAAUGAGUAGGCACAUGAGGGCUCAAACAACUCCUACUCAUGCUAGUGGGUUUCAUCUAUUUACUGUGGCAAUGACAGGUCAUGCAAAGGAUAAAGGGUUCAGCUACCGCAGCAAGUAACAGUUGAAUCGUUGUUGUCCUAAUGCAGUAAAAGAGAGCAGGAGCGAGAGAGUAGGAUUGUAUCAGAAUGAACAAGGGGGUUUUGCUUGCCUGGCACUUCUGAAGAUAACAUUGAGUCUUCAUCAGUGUCAACGAUCACAUCAUCGGUAUCACGUCUAUCGAGAGGGGACAAAUACCGGCAACACAGAAGGGAACACAAUCAAUGCUAUGCACAAUAUGAUGCAUGACCAUGACAUGGCAAAAUGAAUGUGUUUUGAGCUAAUGCAACUAGCAACAGAUUAAAUGAAGUUGGUUUGAAUACAAGAUUCAAAUUCAAACUCCAUAUGUGAUUAUUCAAAUGCCAUUUAAUUGAUUUGUGCUAAACAGCAGCUAUAAGUUGUUCUAACAUGCAUGAAAGUGGUACAGAUGGAUUCCUUGAAUUUUUCUGAUAAUUUUUCAUAUAUAAUUUAUUUAAUUUGGAGUUACGUUUAAUUUUCUAUGAUUUUUAGAAGUUUUAGGCAUUUUCUGGAAUUUCCUGAAUAAUAUUAAAUCCAGAAAUGAUUAUGGCGUCAGCACCACGUCACAGUGACGUCGGCAGGGUCAACUGGGCGCCCCAGGUCAAACCUGACCUGUGGGACCCGAGUGUCAGUGUCUAACUAAACUAACCUAGCUCAGUUAAUACUAACCUAACUUAAUUAGCCGGGCGGGGCCCGCAUGUCAGUGGGAGAGAGGGGGGUCAAACCAGGCAGUGGGGUCAACCCACGCCGGUCAUCGGAUCAGCGGUCGCCGGCGUUUAACCGCCGGCGAGCCCGACGCGGCGGCGAGAGUGGUUUUGGUCGUUUCGGCAACCAAACGAGCCGCGGAGGGUGGCUAUGGGUAGCUGGGAACAUGCCUCCACUUCUGGUGGAGUCGGUUGGGGUCGGGGCGGCCAGAAUCGGCGCCGGCGACGACCUAGGUGGCCGCCGGAGUUCGGGCGAGGUCGGGGUUGGCGUUAGGGGGCACGGGAGGGGAAGCUGGUGUGUGUGUUAGGUUCCUAGUGAGGUGUGGAGCACGUUGCCGUGCUCGGUAGCUAGCUCCGGUGGCUCUGGCCUUGUCCGCGUCAUCGCCGGCGGCGAGGAGCUCACGGCCCCGGUGAAAAGGGCGGCUAGCAUGCGGGAACGAGCGCGGGGAGGAGGGGAAAUGGAAGAGGAGCUCACAGCGAAUCCGGUAAAGGCAACGGCGAGGCCGGGGAGGGGCUGGAGCUCGCGAAUCCUCGAAAGUUCGCCGGCGGCCGAAGGUUGGGGACGAGCUCCGGGAAGACGCUACAGGGCUCCCGCGGUCGAAUGGGUUGGUGUAGAAGACGCAGAAGGCAAUGGCGGUUCCUCUGAACUCAUCGGAGAGGCACGGGGUGGACGGUGGCCGCGGUGAUGCUCGUCGGCGGCGGCGGGUGUGUUCGGUCCGGGCGGGAGAGAGGGAGCAGAGGAGGGAGGUUCGAGGGGGGAGAGUGAGCGAAAUGGUCAGCGGGAUCGGGACGGCCUGCGGGAGUCGUCCACGCGUCCAGGGGCUCAUCGGCAAGCAGGAGGUGGCCGCGCGGCCGUGCGCGUGCGAGCACGCAGCUGCUUCGGGGCGAGGGGAGGAAGACGACGGAGGGCUGCAGUGGUGGGCUGGGCCGGCUUCUGCAGCAGGCCGCACAGGUAGGCGCCAGGUAAGUACUCUCUCUCUCUCUCUGUUUCCUCUUUUCUAUUUUCUGCAAUUUGUUUUUGAUUUGAUUUAAAAUAUCAAAUCAUUUAAUAAAAUCCUAGAAACAAUUAUGGGUGAUUUCUGAAUUAUUUCAGUGACCCUUAACAAUUUCCAACAUUUAUUUGAACAUUUAAAUUAUUUAUAGUAUUUAAAUGCCCAAAGUCAAAUACAAUAUGGUUUACUCAAAAAUCCAAAAAUGUCUUGGAAAAAUAUCCAUCAUCUCUGGAAAUGGUUUUCACCCUUUUCCAUUAAUCAUGAACAUUUUUGCAAACCAAUUUGGGUUCUUUGAAAAAUAUUUUGAAGUUGAACCUAUUUGCAUUGCUUUGGUGCUAGGGCUUGGUCCUCCCCAUUUCAAAUUUCAUGAACUUCAAACAUGAUGCAUGAAUGCCUUGAUGCAACUAAUGACAGACAAAUUCUAGGGCAGUGACAACGCUGUUACAUUUCAAACAUCAUAAUCAGAAAGCAAAUUUUAACUAUACCUCUGGGACGGUGUUUCAACCCUAACCACCUUCCUCUUGAGCCUGCCUGGCCCGGACGCCCUUUGCUGACGAGCCCCCAGGGGCUCGGCGCUGUGUUCCAAUGGUCGUCUCUACAAAAAUAUGAUAUUUUGUGCAUAAGGCAUGGUAUAAGAAAGGAAUCCUCUUCAGAGGAUAAGGCUUCAGCUUUGCUUACACGCGACGCAGGGAGAAGUCCGGGAUAGUCGGCGAUAAUAGCCACCAAGGCGCCAUCGCAGCUGGCCUGAUAAAAUGUCACGUCAACAAGCUCCACAGAUAUAUCCGGAUCUUCUUCAAGUCCGGGAUCGAAGGCCCGACCGGGGUCCUCUGGCGGUGGAGAGGGGCUGUUGAACUCUUCUACGGCCCUCCUCAGUUCCUGCUCAGAAAUAUCAAGAUAAAUGACAGUGAUGAAGGGCGCAAGAUGGAUAAAGUUGAGUAAAGAGUAACGGCUCACCCAGCUUGGGGGGUUGUACAUGGAAAAUCCAUCCCGCGGUUUGAUACAGAGGAACUCCUCUUCUUCUCCUUUAUAUAAAUCAGAUAGUAUUCUCGCCAAAGCAGUGGCGGAGUCCGGAUCUUUACGACCACAGCGGGUGGCGUCGUCUUCCCCGUUGAAGUGCCACAUAGGCUUCCCCCUAUAUUGAAGUGGCUGCACCCCCUGCAUUAUGCAUAUUGAUAUAACCUUGACUAUUGUUAGUCCUGAUUGGGCCAGUGUCUUUAUCCUGCUCAUCGGGAAGUGGACUUCUCUGGUAUCUUCCUCCUGAGGGCUCCGAGGGCGCCAACUUCGGCAUUUCUUCAGCGGAGCGUUAUUAAACUCACGGAGGCCCGUCCGGAUUGGAUCCGGAAGGGGAACGUCAUCAACAUAAAACCACUCCGAGGGCCAAUUUUCAGAUGCCUUCUUUGGAGUACCGGACAGGUAUCCGGUCUAGGCGACGUGCCAUAUUUCGGCUCUGCCCACUUGAUAUAUGGAUUCCCCCUGAUUGCGAGGGACGAGGCAGAAUAACUUCUUCCAUAACUUGAAGUGAGCCUUGCAGCCCAGAAAUAAUUCACAAAGGGCAACGUAUCCUGCGAUGUGUAGCACGGAGGCAGGGGUGAAGCUGUGCAACUGGAGGUCGUAGAACUCCAGGAGCCUGCGAAGGAAUGGGUGGAUUGGAAACCCGAUGCCUCUUAGCAAAUAUGGGAUGAGGCAUACCCGCUCCCCCUGAGAUGGAUUAGGAGAUCUCUCCGCUUGCUCCCCGCAGGUGGCUAGUCCGGCUCGGACGGGGACCAUGAACGCCGGUGGAAGAAACCCUAGGGUCUGCAACUCUACUAAACGGCUAUGGGGAACAGAACAUUCUUCCCGAUCACCUGGCUUAGAGCUAAGGGAGCGAGAAGAGGAGCUGCGGCGACCGGCCAUGUUGGAAUGGUUUUUUCUGGAUGCGCUCUGUUGGAUGCUUGCUCAAGGGAAGAAGGUGAGAUUUGGAUCUGAGGAUCCCCGUCUCUUCAAAUAGACGGUUUGCCUGCAGGGUCGGGGUGGCAAAUGUAAAAAUGCUCUGGCUCCUCGUAUUCGCUCGACACGUGGAGUAUUGAAGCACAGAAGCCGAGGAGUACAACAUUGAUGGGAAGCCGGACACUGUUUGUUACAACAGGUACUUUGGAGUAUUCGGAGAUGGAACCCGCCUUGCAAUGCCGAAGACAAUCUGCGCGCCGGACUCAUCUUCAUUGAAGCCUGGUUCAGGGGCUACUGAGGGAGUCCUGGAUUAGGGGGUAUCCGGAUAGCCGGACUAUAUACUUUGGCCGGACUGUUGGACCGUGAAGAUACAAGACUCAAGACUUCGACCUGUGUCCGGAUGGGACUCUCCUUUGCGUGGAAGACAAGCUUGGCGAUCCGGAUAUUAUAUCUCCUUCUUUGUGACCGACUUUGUGUAACCCUAGACUCCUCCGGUGUCUAUAUAAACUGGAGGGCUUAGUCCGUAGGACAAGUACAAUCAUAAUCAUCAUAAGUUAGCUUCUAGGGUUUAGCCUCUAUGAUCUCGUGGUAGAUCUACUCUUGUAAUGCUCAUAUCAUCAAGAUCAAUCAAGCAAGAAGUAGGGUUUUACCUCCAUCGAGAGGGCCCGAACCUGGGUAAAACAUUGUGUCCCCUGCCUCAUGUUACCAUUAGCCUUAGACGCAACGUUUGGGCCCCCCUACCCGAGAUCCGCCGGUUUUGACACCGACAGCGAGCUUCGCCUCCGCCGUCCUGGCGGCGAUGUAGUCCAGAUCCGCCUGGGUGGUGUCCUGGACGAGCCGCGGCUCGGCGGUGACGUACCCCUCAUUCAAGGUGUCGAAGAACUCCUGCACUUGAAUUUCCUCCGGCUCGACCCAGCUCGGGUCAAGGCCAUGCGCGUUGAAGUCCGGCAUCAUGGCGAUGAUGUCGGUCCGGCGUGAGUUGUUGCUCAGCGGAACCACUCCCACCGGCAACUUGAACAAGGGCCCCUUGGCGACCUUGCCGGCCUUCGUGGCGGCCCUCGUGGCCUUGCCGGUCCGCUCGACCUCGCCAUCGUGAUUCACGUCGAGCUCGAAGAGCUGCUGGCAGAAGUGGGCAUGCCCCAUCACCGUGAAGUUGUGGUCGAGGCCGGGGCGAAGCCUCAUGAUGUCAGCGGCGUUCAUUAAGAGCCAGGCCGGCCUCCCCUUGUUAUGCAGUGGAGCAAUUCAGUGGCGGAUGAAGUCUUCCCCGAUCAUCUCAAGGGUGAGCCCGGCCUCGGUGAGCCAAAGGAUCCUGGUGGUGGCGAUUGUGAGCUUCUCUUCGUUGACACCGACAUCGCUCCAAUCGCUUUUGCGGACCGGCGGCGCCUGGCGAACCUCGCAGGAUGCUGGUGGAUCCUUCUCUUCAAUCCAGCACCAUCGGCCCCACCAUUCUUCCCACCUCUCCUUCAUGGCGCCCUCCAGGUACACCCCCUUGGCCCGUGGGAUCCAAGCGACACAACAAGAAAUGGCGCCCCCCAGUUGGAUCCGAGGGAAGAAGUACUGGCGGAAGAGCGCCAUAUUGGGAUGCACCCCGGCGAAGCCCUCGCAGAGGUGCGCGAAAAGAUCCAUGCACGCCACGGCAUUCGGAGUAAAAUCCAAAAGCUAGAAGCCGUAGGUGUGCAUGACGUCAUUGAAGAAAUCGGAGAAGGGGGGACAGAGCCCGCAGGAGAAGUAGUCGACAAAAAAAGGGUACCGAUUUGGGGCAGCCUCGACGCAGUUGGUGGGGAUGACGUGCGUGGCUAUAUGCCCCGUCGUCUCUCCCCUCGUCUUCACCCGCACAGGGGUUUGAAGGCCUCCCGGAGCUCGAACACGUCGACCGUCGAGGGGAAGUAGGAGAGUUGCGUCCGCUGUGCCGCCAACGCAUUAUCCGGCGGCUCCGUCGCCCCGGCACCUUUGGCCACUCCCUUGCCCUUGGUGGAUUUGGGAUCCAUGGCGGCUGCGUGAAGCAGGGGGUGGAGGAUAGCAAAGGCACAAUGGCGGCAAGAGAAGGCGAGAUCUCGAUAAGGAGGAAGAAAGGGGGCGGCGGCUCUGAGAUUGGAGAAGACGCAGGGAAAGGGGUAAAGUGAGCAGCGCGCCCGCGGUUAUUCCUUUUUACGGGGAAGGCGCAGGCCACCUCCUUUCCCAUUAACUGUGAUGUGACGCAUGAGUGUGGGAACCGCCCCAUGCAUGACCCCCACGUCACGCACGCCCCUCCACAUCGCGCGAUCAACGCGGGUCGUGGGGAAGCGCACCGGACGAAGAGUUACUGCAGUAAAAAUCCGCCCCGCCUGCCCAUGCACUGUUUUGGGCCUGGCCCAACAAUGUAUCACGCUUAUGUGUGGCCCAAGCCCGGGGGCUCCUGUCGGUGUACAAAAGUAGGGGCACUCCUUUGUACCCCUUUACUUGUGCACGUGCAGUCGGAGUCGCGCGCCAUAGCCGCACGUAGCAGAGCAAGGGAGGGAAGCCGAAGCCCAAGACCGACAAGACAACGCCAAGACCAAAGACACAAAGGACAGAAGGGCAAAGCAAGGGUCUUGCCGGGGCAGCCUCGGCAGCCCCGGCAAGAGCCUUGCCGGGGCGGCACGCCCAACGCCAACAAAGUGAGCCACACUUGAGCCCACGGGUUCCAACCCAACCAACUACAUUGGGACUAGGGCUCGGGAGGCACCUCCAUAAUGGCAUGCAGAUCUUUGUCAAGACCAAAGGUAUAUGAGAUCAGAUGAGGAUCAGAAGACAACGAUCCUCGGCAAGAUCCUUGCCGAGGAAAGCCACAAGACCCCCGGCAAGAUCCUUGUCGGGGACGACUGCGCGCCACGGCAAGACCCUUGCCGGGCCCCCGGCAAGGCCCUUGCCAAGGACAUCAGGGGGGCCACUGCCAGGCCCGCACCAGCCAAGUUUCCACCGCCAUUAGCAUGCAGCUGCUAGCCUGACCAGCUGGGUAGGCACCUGCGUGGCAACAUGCGGCUCCUAGGCCAACUCAGCAAGUGCCUACGUGGCAGCAUGCAGAUCUUCGCGAAGACCCUACCACCACGCCACCUCAGCUGCCUACCUGCCUACAUGGCACCGCAUGCAUCGCUGGCCAGGAUGCGUGUCGAAGCGAGGAGGGCGGUGACGGACGGGACGGGCCUCGCUCCCGUCCCCAAUAAACUAAGGGACACCUAAGCAGACGCAUUAAAUGCGUCUUGUCCUGUAAUAUGUGCGAUAAGCUCGCGCACUAUAGACCUUUCCACCUCCUGUGUGCCACUGUGGCAACCCCUUUACCUAUAAAAGGAGGUCCGAGGCGACUAGGAGGGGGAUUCGGCUCUUUUGAACGGCACAGCCACCAUAGCUAGUUCGAGAGCUCAAAAACACUCAAUACAUCCACCAAAGCAGGACUAGGGUUUUACGCAUCCUCGCGGCACGAACCUGGGUAAACGAUCCGUGUGCUACCUGUUAAACCUGCUCUUCUCACGACCUCGCGCCCCACCGACCGUAGUAGGGAUUCUUGUGAUCCCAUAGGUGUCGUUCUCACUGACACAAUUUUUAGUAUUCGAGUUUCAUAUGAUAUUCCCACUAUUGUGAAUGAGAAUAAAAUUGCUUAUAUGGAGAGUAAUAAUUUUUCUUUGAUUUUGGAUCAUGAAAAGAUUGCUUUAUGUGAUGGUUAUAUUGAUGAAUCUAUUCAUGGUGCUACUGAAAAUUAUUAUGAGAGAGGAACUUAUGAUUCGUGAUGCUCUUGUUAUGUUUCAAUCGUUAUCUUUUAUGCGAGCAGCAUUGAACUCAUCAUGCCUAGCUAAAAGGCAUUAAAGAAAAGCGCUUGUCGGGAGACAACCCAACACUUUUACCUACUGUUUUUGUGUUCACAUGAUUAUGCUACUGAGUAAUCAUGUUUUAUAGCUUUUGUUUCAAUAAAGUGCCAGGUAAAGCCUUUGGGAUAGUGUGGAUGAUAGUUGACUUGAUUUUGUGCAAAAACAGAAACUUUUGCGCCCAGUCCAGGAAUUUCUAAAAUUCACUGGAAUGUGAUUUUGAUCUAAUUUUUUUACAGAUGAUUGAUAGGCAAAUUCUCUAUGUUGUUCUAAUUCUUCAGAAUAUUUAGAUUUGCAGAAAUAUGGUCAAACUUCAAAUUACUACAGACUGUUGUGUUUUUGAUAGAUUAUGUUUUCAAUGCAUAGUUUGCUUGUUUACUAGUUUCUAUGGCUUAUAUUUCUCAAUAUAAAUUAUGGAAAUGAUAAGUUACAGUAGGCAUUGUGUGAGAACAAUUAUGAAUCUUGUCUUGACAGUACCCAAGUGAAUGAUUUGCUCUUCAUCAUACUAACCAAUCUCACGAAGUUCCAUUAAGUUUUGUGUGAUUGAAGUUUUCAAAGUUUUGCGUGAGAUAUCGAUAUGAGGAGAAUAACGAGUGACAAGACCCUAAGCUUGGGGAUGCCCAAGGAACCCCCAAGGUAAUAUUCAAGGAAGAUCCAAGCAACUAAGCUUGGGGAUGCGCCGGAAGGCAUCCCCUCUUUCGUCUUCAACGUUAUCGGUAUCCCCACUUCGAGCUAUAUUUUCAUUCGUCACAUGAUAUGUGUUUUGCUUGGAGUGUCAUUUUAUUUUAGUUGUAUUUUCUUGCUGCUAUCUAUAAUAAUGUUUUGCAUAUUUUACUUCCAUAAAAAUUUCAAGUAUAGCCUUUGCCAUGCUUAUUUUGCAAGUAUAUGAGUUGCUGUUUCAAAAUAGAAAGUUUAUCGCUGUUGCAAAAAUUCUCUAGAAAAUUAAGAAUGUGAUAAAAUAUUGAAACUUUUUGCACAAUAAGCUAUCAUAAAUUUUCUAUAGUGUGGUAAUUGUUCAGAGUUUUUAAAGUUGAAUAAGAUUGGAUCUUACUUCAUCCUUUACAGACUGUUAUGUUUAGACAUAUUGCUGUUAUGAUUGCGUUGCUUGCAUAUGUUUGCUUGUUUAUUGAUUCUAUUUGAGGAUAGGAGUAUUAAAUAUGCAGAUGCAUUUAGUAUGAAAUGUUAAAUUGUAAUUUUAGUGAUUUUUUAUAGUAGAGAAUGAAAAGGUAUUGCAUUGAUUUAUACUAAUGUAUCUCACGAGUUCUUGUUGAGUUUUGUGUGGAUGAAGUUUUUAAGAUUUAGGGAAACCGUGAUAUAAAAGUAAUUAAGGAGACACCAAAGCUCAAGCUUGGGGAUGCCCAAGUCAUCCCAAGAUAAUAUUCCAUAAAGACUCAAGCAUCAAAGGUUGGGGAUGCCCCGGUAGGCAUCCCACUUUUCUUCAUCAACAAUUAUCGGUUAGCCUCGGUAGAGCCUAAGUUUUUGUUUCUUCACAUGAUGUGUGCCAUUCUUGGAAUGUAAUUUCAUUUUAUUUUGCUUGUUGUUUUAAUAAAAUACUUAGAUCUGAAACUUUUAAAUAUGAGAGAGUCCUCAAACAGCUACCCUUUUACAUAACUACUGGCUUGAUCUUCACUUAUAUCUUUUUGGAGUAGUUUGUCAAACACUCUCAUGCUUCACUAAUAAUAUUUCGAGAGUUGAUAAUAGUGAUGAAAAUUUGCACAAGCCUUGAAAUUGGUCCUAAUAUAAUGAAAAUCCAAGAAGGAUAUAAUAAAAAAAACUUUCAUGUAGAUCAUUGGAUAUGAUAAGUUUAAUUCCUUGCAAUAGUUUUGUGAUACAGAGAUAAUAAUAUGUGAGUCAUGUUGGUGAGUAAUUGUGCUUUAGUAAUAAUAUUGGUGUUUAGGUUUGUGAUUCCCUAUGCAAGCACGAAAGUCAAUAGUGAUGCAAUGAAAUUACAUCCUACUUGUGGUGCAUUAUUCGGUGUUAGUUAUGCUCAAUGCUCGUUUAUGUGAAUUUUCGUUUAUUUGUUGGUUGCUUCUCAAUCUAUUUGCUAGCCUUCACUUGUACUAAGUACAAAUACUACUUGUGCAUCUAAACUCUUUAAACCCAGUUUUGCCACAUGAGUCCACCAUACCUACCUAUGUGCGGUAUUCUCGUGCCAUUCUAAGCAAAUCUGUAAGUGCCAUCUCUAAUUUUCAAGAUAAAUUUCCUUUUUGUGUGCUCGCACCGCUCAUGAAGCGGCAGGAGGUGGCCACUAUUUUCCAUGAUAGAUGUGUUAUUCUUAGCAUGAGUUUUUAUUCACUUCUCAUUGAACGAGAGUACGACAAAGUAUUAGGGAUUCCCAGUCUCGAAAUGAAAAAGAAAUUUACUUUAUGUUGUCAAAUAAUAAAUUCCUUGGAAAGUGUUGGUAUGGAGCGCACCCGUGGAUACGGCUAGCCAUGGAUUGUGAAAGAAUGGUGGAAAAAGGAAUAAACUUUAUUUUCUUUUUGGGAACCACCUAUGACAUAUCUAGCAUGGAAAGUGUUGGGAAUUACUCGGUCGUUUUCGUUGACGGGAAAAAUAUGCCUCCCAAAAUCUUUUAUCUCUCAAUUUAAGCUCUGAGCUCUGGCACCUCUACAAAUCCCUACUUCCCUCUGCGAAGAGCCUAUAUAUUUACUUUAUGCAUUUUUUAUUUUUAUUCACUUUGCUAGCAUUCACGCUACAUAAAUUAUUUCUUUUAUCAUUUACCUACUCGAGGACGAGUAGGAAUUAAGCUUAGGGAUGCCGAUACUUCUCCAACAUAUCUAUAAUUUAUGAAAUAUUCAUGCCAUGUUUACAAUAAUUUUAUAUAGUUUUGGUAUGAUUUGUAUGGAACUAACCCGGACUAACGUUGUUUUCAACAGAAGUACCGUGGUGUUGCUUUUUGUGCAGAAAUGAAAGUUCUCCAAGUGAGCUGAAACUUUUUCACAAUUUUUUUGGAACAAAAGAGACCCCCAAAGCUUUGUGGAAGGAUCAACAGGUGAAGGAGUAGGGCACAAGACACCAGCGCGUGCUAGGCGGGCCAGGCGCGCCCCGGUGGGUUGUGCUCACCACGAGGCCCAUCUACACGUGAAACCGACGCCAAAAAAUCCUAUAAAUAGAGAAUAUAUCAGAAAUAACCCUGGAUCAGAAGUUCGGCCGCUGCAAGCCUCUGUAGCCAUGAAAAAACAAUCUAGACCCCGUUUCGGCACUCUGCCGGAGGGGAAAAUCAUUACCGGUGGCCAUCUUCAUCAUCCCGGUGGCCACCAUGAUGAGGAGGGAGUAGUCCACCCUCGGGGCUAAGGAUUUGUACCAGUAGCUAUGUGUUUAAUUUCUCGCUCUCUCGUGUUCUUGACAUGCCACGAUCUUGAUGUAUCGCGGGCUUUGUUAAUAUAGUCGGAUCAUAUGGUGUUUUCCCCUCUAUAUCUUUUUGUGAAUUGAGUUUUUCCUUUGAGAUUUUGUUUUAUUGGACCGAAUAUUUUUAUGGAUUUGAGAACACUUGAUGUAUGUCUUGCUAUGAAUACCCGUGGUGACAAUGGGGUAUCAUAUUGAUUCACUUGAUAUAUGUUUUGGCACUCAACUCGUGGAUUCCUGACGUGACAUUGGGGUAGUCUAUGCAUGGGGUUUGAUGCACGUUCUUGUCUUUGUUUCUCCGGUAGCAAUCUUGGGGCACUCUUUGAGGUUCUUUGUGUUGGAUUGAGUAUUAUGAAUCUGAAAUUGUUUGAUGCAUAUCGUAUAAUCAACUCAUGGAUACUCGCGAUGACAUUAGAGUAUCUAGGUGACAUUAGAGUUACUUGAUGUGUAUCAUAUGGUGUUAUUUUAGUAUGAACUCUUGGAUAGAUUGAAUAGAAAUAAUAGCUUUGUGUUAUUUUAGUAUGAACUCUUGGAUAAAUCGAACGGAAAGAAUAGAUUUGAGGUGGUUUCGUACCCUACAAACAAUUUCUUCCUAUGUUCUCCGCUAGAUAUGAACUUUGGAGUGAUUCUUCAUCGCACGUUGAUGGAUGGUUAUAUGAUCCAAUUAUAUUAGCAUUGUUGAGAGAUUGCACUAGCGAAAGUACGGACCCUAGGCCUCAUUUUCAAGCAUUGCAAUACCGUUUGUGCUCCAUUUUAUCAAUUGCUACCUUGCUGUUUUUUAUUGUUCUUAUUACAAAAAUCAAUAUCUACUAACAUUACUACACUUUUAUCACCAUCUCUUCGCUGAACUAGUGCUCCUAUACAAAUUACCAUAGUAUUUGGUGUGUUGGGGACACAAGAGACUUUUUAUUAUUUGGUUGAGGCAUUGUUUGAGAGAGACCAUCUUCAUCAUAUGCCUUCCGUGAAUUGAUAAACCUUAUGUCAUCCACUUGAGGGAAAUUUGCUAAUGUCCUACAAAACUUUGCGCUUGGGGGGCCAAUACAAGUCUACAAGAAAAAGUUGUGUAGUAGACAUCAACGGGUAAAGAAGGUUGCGGUGGUGGAAAAGUGUUUUCAUUGAUGCUUCUGAGGGUUUUGGAAUAUAUGUGAAUAUAUAGGAGAAAGGAGUAGAUUAGGGGGCCACAAGCCCUAGGGGCGUCCCCCCUAGGGCGCGCCCCCUGUCUUGUCGUUUACUCCAAGGGUUCUUGACUUGGUCUCCAAGUCUUGUGCGUGUCUUCUGGUCCAAGAAAAAUCAUCGUGAAAUUUUAAUUCUGUUUGGACUCCGUUUAGUAUUCCUUUCCUAUGAAACUCAAAAUAGAGGAGAAAAAGAACUGGCGCUGGUCUCUAGGUUAAUAGGUUAGUCCCAAAAAUAAUAAAAAUAGCAUAUUAAUGCAUCUAAAACAUCGAAAACAGGUAAUAUAAUAGCGUGGAACAAUCAUAAAUUGUAGAUACGUUGGAGACGUAUCGAGCAUCCCCAAGCUUAAUUCCACCUCGUCCUCGAGUAGGUAAAUGAUAAAAACAUAAUUUUUUAUGUGGAAUCCUACCUAACAUAUUUAUCCUUGUAAUUUUCUUUAUUCUCGCAUGAAUGUUCACAUCCAUAAGAUUCAAAACAAAACUUUAAUAAUGACAUAAAAACGAUAAUACUUCAAGCAUACUAAUAAAGCAAUUAUGUCUUCCCAAAAUAACAUGGCCAAAGAAAGCUAUCCCUACAAAAUCAUAUAGUCUGGCUAUGCUCCAUCUUUAUCACACAAAAUAUUCAAAUCAUGCACAACCCCGAUGAAAAGCCACGGAAUUGUUUCAUACGUUCUAUGUUCUCAAACAUUUUCAACUUUCACGCAAUACAUGAGCGUGAGCCAUGGAUAUAGCACUAUAGGUGGAAUAGAAUAUGGUGGUUAUGGAGAAGACAAAAAUAAGGUGAUAGUCUCACAUCAACUAUGUGUAUCAACGGGCUAUGAAGAUGCCCAUCAAUAGAUAUCAAUGUGAGUGAGUAGGGAUUACCAUGCAGUGGAUGCACUAGAGUUAUAAGUUUAUGAAAACUCAAAAAGAAACUAAGUGGGUGUGCAUCCAACUCGCUUGCUCACGAAUACCUAGGGCAAUUUGAGGGAGCCCAUCAUUGGAAAAUACAAGCCAAGUUCUAUAAUGAAAAAUUCCCACUGGUAUAUGAAAGUGAUAACAUAGGAGACUCUCUACCAUGAAGAUCAUGAUGCAACUUUGAAGCACAAGUGUGUAAAAAGGAUAGUAACAUUGCCCCUUCUCUAUCACACCCUGCAUUUUGUAACAUGUCAUUUGCAUUAAUAAAGCAUGAAAUUUUGACCAACAAAAACUUUUGCAUUAUUUGGCUUUUUAUUUGAGUUGGUUUUCUCUGUGUGAUUUUCAAGUGCUCUUUAAAGUCAACACAACUGCACUUUCUAUACUGCAUCUCCUUGCCCCAAACUUCUUCCCAAUGAUCAUGCCAUGUGUAUAAUGAAAUAUAGUAUUUUUUUUACAACAAUAAUUUGGCAAAAUAGUAUUUUCUAAAUUUAGUUUCCAAAAAACCCUGAAUUGAGGUUUGCACUACAAGUACUUGACUUGGGGUAUGAAAAAUCUUUCAAAGAGUAUAUUUAACUCCUAUUAGGUAUACGACUCCCAUAAACCACAAAAGUUUAAUUUUAAAAGUUAUUUUACUAUUUUAUUUAAAAGCUUUUUCUUAGGGCCAGAAAUGGUCUUUAAUAGGUUAAAAUUAUUUAACUGUUUCAAAAAUAUUUGAGAAAAUUAAGGGAAACUCAUAGGACAUAUAUUGUCCAUAUAUAAGAGUUUCAACACCAUGUCAUGUUCUAAAUAUUGGAAAAAAUCCCUCAAACCCCCUUUUUGGACAUUUCAAGAUUUUGAAAUAUUUACAAAGGAAAUAUUCUCUAAAAAUUCGAAGAAAAUUAUAGCAAGUCACAUAUGCAUAAUGUGAUGAUCUUGCAAAGUUUCAUCUCAAUCAAAAUUGUUUUGGUUCACAAAAGUGCCCCAAAACCCUUUCUGUUCAAAACCAAACUUGAACAACUCUACAUGGCCAACCUUGUCCAUUUGAUCUCAAGACUUCGUGGACCAAGUGGUGCACCAAGGAGGAGAGUUUAGCUUAGCUAGAUCUAAGCAAGUUCAUUUCUGUGAGUUUCUAGGGUUUACAAAAGUUACAUUGGCAACUUUACCCAAAUGAACUCAAAUUUGGUGGAACACCCUAUUUCUGUAUGCCAUUCCAUCCUGUUAAGUCUCAUGUCAAGUGUAAUUCAUUUUCUUGCCCAAAGCAGCAACAAACACCUUCUGCCAAUUUUCAAAAAGCAUCACUUUGACCUCUUCCACUAAUCUCCAUGGGCUCAAAAUUUUACCACAGCCUCUCCUAGUCCCCUUCUACCUCCAGUAAUAAUGGCAAGUCCACAAAUCAUCCAUAAGCUGUCUGAACAAAAAAUAGUACAGAAACCGUUAAUACCAGCAAAUAAUAUUAAGCAGUUUGCUUUAGAUUUGAAAAUGUUCAGGAGAGAUUCAGAAGCAUGGUACAACCUGCAGAAAGAGGCAUCUAAAGAUAUCAAGCAAGGACAAUUAAUUGAAGCCUCAGAAAAGACACCACAGCCCUUCAGCUCCAAUAUAGACAUAUUUGGGGCCUCUAUGAGUAGAACACUCAACUUUGGGCAAAUUACAAGGUUUAGGGAUUCAAGACCAACCUAGAAAAUAAGUAAGCAUCAGAACAAGAGAUGUAUUUAUUUAUCUAGGUAAUAAUUAAAAAGAGAAUUUCGUUUUGUCCAAUACAAUGGUUUGCUUCAAAAUUUGUUUCACAAAUAUACUCCCUCCGUUCCAUAAUGUAGUGCGUAUAAUUUUUUUUAAAGUCAAACUUUACAUACUUUGACCAAAUUUAUAGAGAAAAUUGUUUGUUUCCACAAUACCAAAUAUAUAUGAAAUAUCUUAUGAUGAAUCUAAUGAUAUAUGUACGACGAGUUGGUCAUUUGAGAAUAUACAGAAUAUAGUUUCAACUAAUAAUACUAACCAGAACCAAGAACAUUCUCAUAAAUGCUAUUUCAGGUAUGAAAUCAAUUAGACUUCCCCUGAUUCCUGUUAUACCUCUAGAUCGUUGCCAAGUUGUUUUUUGUUCUUGCUAUGUUCAGGACUAUUUCUUAUAGAGAAGUCUUUUCUAUAAUUUCCCUAGUUUGAUUAAACAUAUCUUUGACCAGAUGAUUCCCAUUAUGCGUCUAGUCAACUGGAUAAGCCCCCACUACAAUGUGUGAAAAGUUCAUACAGCUCAAUAACAGCAUCAGAGACUAAUAAAAGGCCGACAAACGAAACAAUUUUGACAAAUCAUCGACUUUCUGGUCAACUUCGAAGGCCUAGCUAGUCAUCUUGCACUGAGAUUGUGAGGUCCGGGGGAAUCUGAUGCUGACAGGGAAUAUCCACCACCACUCUGUUCUACCAGAAUCAUACAAUGUGGACUGAACAAUUAUGCACCGGCUAUCUGGUACCUGAAUAUCUAUGGGGAACAUGGCGAUGGUGUCUGAGAGCGCGGCGUCGAGCAUGUCAUAGGGGUGCCCGGUGAACAGGUCCUCCAGCCUCCUCUCCCACCGGUCAAGAGCCUGCGGCGUGAUGUGCGACGCAUUGGGACCGUCCACGAGCUCAUCUGUCCUCCUGCACCACACUGAACAUUGUUGCUAUACAUCAGAUACUGAAAGUGAUCGAUGCCUAUAGUAUAUCUCAUUUAGAACUGACAGAACCUCAGAUUCACAUUCCUUAAGUAGUGAGGAAUAUGUUCUUGCAACCCUUUCUCAUGUACUUUGAUCCUAUUGACGCCAUUUAGCCAACAAAAAGCCUAAUUUGAUUCUUCCACACAUAAUGGCAUAUAAAAAAGUGUUAUAUGAGGCCUUUAUUCUUCACCAACUGUGUCUAUGUAUACAUGGCAUGCAAGUUCAGCAAUGUUUCUAUUUGCCAUUAUUCGCAUCCAGAACUAGUUCACACUGUUAACUGAAAAGUGGCCGAUUUUCCUGGGGAGUUUCAAAAUAUUCUUGCAAGUUGCUGUUAAAUACAGUAUGUAGCAAUUUAAUGCAAAAUGUGGGCAUGCCCUUUCUGACAAUCUGAAGUGAAUAUGAAUUCAGUCACAUCACUGAAACUAACUGACACUGUGUGACACAUACUAAUACUACAAUAGGGGAGCAACAAUUGAGGGUCCAAGCCAGGCAUGGUGAGUUUCAGAUUACCGUAGAUGGCCCAUAUGGCGCGCCGCCGCUCCUCCGUCAUCAGCAAGGUCCCUGCCAUGCACGACCAGACAUGAACGAGUCACCUCCAUGAUCAUCAGUACAUCUGCCUGGCAUGCAGCAGACUGCGACCAUGGCUCGAGAAAAACAGAGUAAGUAUGCAUGGAGGAGCACCGUACCGAGGUAGAAGGUCCAGCGAGGAGGAGGCCGGAUCCGGAGUGGCCGGACCUCCCAUGGCUGGAUCCGGGCGCGAGGCAGGGUGGGGCGGCGGCGGCGACGCGGGGACGCGGGCGGGGUGCAGAGGAGCUCGAUGCUCCGCUCCCAUGGCGGCGACGAAUCUCGAGGUCGAGGAGACCAGCGACGAGGCUUCCGCGACGGGGCGACGAGCUUGUGGGGAGGUGGCGGCGCACGACGCGACGCAGGUGACAGCGCGAGGCGGCGGGGCUCCUGGGGUCCGGUGAGGUUGCGACGCGCACCGGCGGGCGGAGGCGAGGUGGCGCAGCGGCGCGGGGCCGAGGGAGGCGGGGUCGGGAGGCGCUCGGCUGUGGGGCAGGGGCGGAGAGAGAGGGUAUAUAGAUAGAGGAGGUGGGGGCAACGGUGUUUUUUACCCGCAAAAAAUAGAUAUCCCCCUCUGUGUCGUCCGCCAGCAGAUGGCAAAUAAUCUUUGCCGUCUGCCAGCAGACGGCAAAGAGGGGGGUGGACCGUUGCACUGUGCUGGCAUCCGGUGGCACCUCUUUGCCGUUCGCUUGCAGGUGGCAAAGAUUCUUUGCCAUCUGCCGGCAGACGGCAAAGAAAUGACAGAUGGCAAAGACCUUCUUUGCCUUCUGCCAGUUCAUUGCCUUCUGUUGUUUGGUAGAUGAUGGCAGAGACCUUCUUUGCCAUCGGCAAGCGGACGGCAAACAACUGGCAGACGACAAAAUCCCUAAUUCCAGUAGUGGUUGCCUUCAUUUCCUCCUUCUUGAUACUUGCAUUGUGCAUGACCCUACCUUCCUAUGAGGGUUAUGCCGGUGAGAGUAGAUAGGAUGCUAAAGUGGAUGUUAUGCAAAUGGGACGGGUAUAUGUAUGGUGAUGGAGACAAAAGUAUUUCCAAAGACUUUUCGAAAACCCCGUUGGGUGCCACUAAAGCCCGAGGGAGAUGAUGAUCUAGGUAACCACUUGACAAAGAAGUGGUGUACCGGAGCAAGUUGUGUGAAUGUGUUUUCAAAAACGGAUGGGUUUAAGUUGCGACCGUUAUUCCAACCUUACAUGUACAACCACAAUACCCCUUAUGGGACGGGGCUUUGUUGGUUACUUUGGUCAAUACUAGCAGGGAGCCCACAUUACUAGUGGCAAGAGGGUAUGAGGUACUUUCUUGAGAUGGAGUCAUGCCAGGUAGGGCAACUAUGGCUAUUUUUACAAACACCGGGCACACUGUUGCGUCCCCUCUCUGAUGGUAUGAUCUCGAGUGUCGCAUGAUGUACAUCGUGAGGACAAGGGCCAACGAGUGGACUCUUUGUUAGUGUUGUCAAGGGAAAGAUAAUGUUCGGGUGCUUACCCCGGGUACUUGUGGUACCGCGGGUCGUGGAUGACAUGGAAGUUCCCUGGAUCUUGUGGGUAAAGUGUGCAACCUCUGCAGAGUGUAAAACUAUUCGAAUAGCCAUGUCCACAGUCAAGGACAGUUGGGUAACCGCUCUUGGGCCACGUCCACAUGUUUACAAAACCAGUGUGUGUUUGGAUAAGUGGGAAGAACUACUUGCACUACUAGGAAAAUGCUUAUAGAUAGAAUUUUACCAGUAGCAUUUGUUUAUGACCCCAUGCUACUAGUAGUUAGUAGUAGCGCUGGGUAGAAAUCGCGCUACUGGUAUGUGUUAGCAGUAGUGCUUGUUACCUAGCCCGACGCUAUUGCUAAGUGUAACACACCACACCCCUUGGUCAAUAAAUAUUAGCAGUGCUGGUCGUCCAACCGGCGCUACUAUUAGUUUUGGAUCUAUAGCGCCUGUUUAGUUAAGCGAGCUACUGCUAUUUUUUUAUGUAUAACAUUUUACCAGUAGCGUGUUUUUCUAGACCGCGCUAUAGGUAGUGCAACACUAGCCAUAGAUAUUUUGCAAGCUGCCAUAGCAGUAGCGUGUUUUGGCUCCCCGCGCUACUACUAUGAUCGCCAGCCACCUACCGCCUUUCCCCUCCUUCCCCCCCUUUCUUCUUCCUCUCCCCCUUCCUUUCUCCCCCUUUCCUUGCACCUUGCUUGUUCUAAUGCUCCCCCUCCACCACCCCUCCAUUAGAGCCCUCCCUUCUUCUCUUCUUUGCCCUUCCACCACCCCCCUCUGCUUUGCCCCUCCAACACACCCCUCCAUUAGAGCCCUCCCAUCACCAUCCCCCUCUUUCUUUGCCNNNNNNNNNNNNNNNNNNNNNNNNNNNNNNNNNNNNNNNNNNNNNNNNNNNNNNNNNNNNNNNNNNNNNNNNNNNNNNNNNNNNNNNNNNNNNNNNNNNNNNNNNNNNNNNNNNNNNNNNNNNNNNNNNNNNNNNNNNNNNNNNNNNNNNNNNNNNNNNNNNNNNNNNNNNNNNNNNNNNNNNNNNNNNNNNNNNNNNNNNNNNNNNNNNNNNNNNNNNNNNNNNNNNNNNNNNNNNNNNNNNNNNNNNNNNNNNNNNNNNNNNNNNNNNNNNNNNNNNNNNNNNNNNNNNNNNNNNNNNNNNNNNNNNNNNNNNNNNNNNNNNNNNNNNNNNNNNNNNNNNNNNNNNNNNNNNNNNNNNNNNNNNNNNNNNNNNNNNNNNNNNNNNNNNNNNNNNNNNNNNNNNNNNNNNNNNNNNNNNNNNNNNNNNNNNNNNNNNNNNNNNNNNNNNNNNNNNNNNNNNNNNNNNNNNNNNNNNNNNNNNNNNNNNNNNNNNNNNNNNNNNNNNNNNNNUCCCUCUCCUCCCACUCUCUUCCUGGCUCUCUCUCUCCCUGGGGAGUUAGCUAGCUAGUUAGAGCUAUAUAUAUAUAUAUAUCUAGAGCUACUAGGUAAUUAAGAAGAAAGGUGCUCAAUAUCUCUCUCGACACAUAUGUGAGCAAAAAAGUGUUUUUGUGUGGAUAAGGACCGAAACUAUAUAUAUAUGGGCGAUAUGUGAAUAUACCGAAUUGUGUGUGGCAUAAUUUGAGUUGCCUACAUUGUGUAUUUGAUGAAAUAAUGUGGGUGACAUGAGUUGCCUAUGUUUUGCCGAAAUGUCGAUUCAAUUCCGUUUCGGCGAAUUUCGGGCAAACUCAAUAUGUCCUAUGUUUAGGGAAGGUCAUGCCGAAUUUUUGUAUGAAUUUGAUCCACGCAUGCAUAUAUACAUGGUUAUAAUAUUUGCUCCACGCACAGGUGAUCAUGAAGGUUAAUGGAAGGAUGGUGGAAAGAUACUGGUAAUCCGCUAUGGAUGACAUGUAUGAAAAAAGACUGAAGGAUGUUUUAUGUCCGUGUCGAAAAUGCAAAGGAAUAGUCAGGCUUGACCCCUUUAAGGGUGGCACAUUCAAGGCGCACCUGCUCAUGCAUGGUUUCAUGCAUGGCCAACUCGGUGGAUAAGUGAAGAUGAUGAUGAUGAGGAUGUCGACGGGGCAGGAAAUAAUGACAUGGGGCCACCAGACGAAGAGAUGACCGAUUAUGUGCCCAAAGAGGAAGACGGCCUCGGAAAUGUCGAUGGCGAAGAGGCGGUUCAAGGAGGAGAAGACGCGGACACACCACCGUCUUCAUCGCUACUAAGUUCAGCCAUGCGGGACCCGCAUGUUCGAGACCUGCUUCACAAGAAGACGACUAGCGAUAGAGCUGCUUCUAGAGAGGAGGCCAAACUGGCGCAACUGGAGGUAGACUCGAUGACUCCUUUGUAUGAUGGUUGGAAUCCCGAGGUGACCCGCUUGAGUUCCACACAAGAAUUUCUAAAGACGAAGGCAAAAAACAAAUGGACAGAUACAAUCUUGGAUGAGCUUCUGACGUAUCUAAAGAAGGUUCUUCCUGCGGGAAGCCUGUGUCCUACUAGAGUCGAGGAGGCAAAGAAAAUCGUGUGCCCUCUUGAUCUACCACACAUUAGAUAUCACACAUGCAUCAAUGAUUGCAUCAUAUAUCGGAACGAGCACGCGGAAAAAACCAUCUGUCCAAAGUGCAAUGCUUCACGAUAUAAAAAGGCCGGAAAGAAAGCUCCACAGAAAGUUGCAUGGUACUUUCCGAUCACUCCGCGUCUACAGCGGUAUUUCGUAGAUCCUAAGGAAGCAAAGCUUAUGCGGUGGCACGCGGAGAGGGUGAAGCCAGAUGAUGGAGAUGAGCCGAAGCUGAGACACCUCGCAAAUGCUAGCUAGUGAAGAGCAUUAAAUGCUGAAUUUGAUUUUUCGCAAAUGAUCCAAGGAACAUCGUGCUUGGCGCUAGUAGUGAUGGCAUGCAUCCAUUUGGCAACCAGAACACCAAUCAUAGAACAUGGCCCGUGUUUGUAUGGAUGUACAACCUCCCCCCUGGUUGUGUAUGAAGGAAAAAUACAUACACAUGGCUAUGCUUAUUCAAGGGUCGAGACAACCGGGAAAUGAUAUAAAUUUGUAUCUUGGGUUACUGAAAGAGGAGCUACAUACCUUAUGGACAAUGCCGGCCAAGACAUGGGGUGCAAGCAAAGGAGAGUAUUUCUACAUGAGAGCCACGCUGAUCACGACGGUGCAGGACUAUCUCGGUUACGGCUAUCUCUCCGGCCUGGUGUGCCACGGAUAUCGCGGAUGCACGAGGUGCAUGAAUGAUACAACUUCUCUACAGCUAUCGAAACAUGGCGGGUCUUCGAAAAUUGUUUACAUGGGGCAUCGAAGAUGGCUCGAUAAGGAUGACCCAUGGAGAAAGUGUGGAGAUCUAUUCAAUGCUAAGGCUGAGCAUCGAGGUCCUCCAUGUAAGCGUAGCGGUGCAUAAAUAUAUAAGUUAUUAAAGAACUGGGAAGAGUGCCCCUCGCCGGGUAAGACGAAGAAAAAGGCGCCAGAGCCCCUGCUGAAGGUAUGGAAGACGAGAUCUGUUUUCUGGGACUUGGAAUACUGGCCCAUACUCGACACGCCUCAUAGCCUUGAUCAAAUGCAUAUCAAAAAAAAAAUCCUUGAGAGAUUGCUUGGAACAUUGAUGAACAUGCCGGAGAGGACCAAGGAUGGGCUGAAGGCAAGAAAAGACUUGGAAUUUUUGAAUAUUAGGAAAGAUCUCCAAAUGCCCUGUAAAAGGUCGUCUGAGGAGACCGAGACGGAGAUGGAGACGGAAGAUAGGGGCAAAAAAGUAAAUAAGAAGGAAGAACAAUAUUGCCCCCCCUCUUGCUUCACCUUAGAUCCGAAGGAGGUCGAUCAAUUGUUCAAGUGCCUUGCCGGAAUCAAAGUUAGUUCCGGAUACUGUGGGAAGAUAAGCAGAUAUCUAGACACUAAAAAAAAGGUUCAGUGGGAUGAAGUCUCACGACUGUCAUGUGAUGAUGACAUAGUUACUCCCGGAUGCACUUAGAGGGAUUAUGGACACACAUGUGCGUGAGACGCUUACUGACCUAUGCCACUUUUUUGAUGCUAUCUCUCGAAAGUCGAUCAGUGUGAAGCAACUCCAUAGGCUACAGGAAGAUAUUGUUUUCAUACUGAAUGAGCUAGAGAUGUACUUCCUACCCGCGUUCUAUGAUGUCAUGGUGCAUCUAUGUGUCCACAUCGUGGAUGACAUCAUCGACUUAGGGCCGACAUUCCUGCACAACAUGAUGCUGUUCGAGAGGAUGAAUGGCAUCAUCAAAGGAUUCGUUCGUAACAUGUCCCGUCCAGAUGGAAGCAUAGCCCAGGGAUAUCUGACCAAAGAGUGCAUCUCUUUCUGUGAGAGUUAUCUAGUAGGCACCGGAGACCUUGUUGUUGGUUUGCCCGUCAACAAGCACCAUGGAAGGCUUGAAGGUGAAGGUCACACCAAUGGCCAUAGGGAUGUGAAUGUGUUACGCUCGGGCCAACAAAACGACCUUGACAGGGCAAACUUAGUAGUGCUACAACACCUAGAUGUGCUAGAAGAUUUUGUGACACUGCACAAACAGACCAUCGCAAAGAAGUACCGUGAUCGUGGGUGCACAGGACGGACACUGAAGUUAUUAGAGAGCACAACUCCACUUUCUUGCAUUGGUUCAAAGAGCGAGUUCUGGGUAAUCCCCCGAAAGAGGGUUGUCCGAAUGGAACGCUCAUAUACGCCUUAGCACAUGGCCCCUCGACCAACCUCGCGACUUAUCAAGCAUACGAUAUCAACGGAUACACGUUCUACACGGAGGACAAAGAUAUAAAUAGUGAUGACCAAAACUCAGGGGUGAGGAUGGAAGCCAUGAACGGGAAUGUAAUUGAAAGAUAUUACGGAAGGGUCGAAGAGAUAUGGGAGCUUAACUACUCUGGACUGCAUAGCACGACGAUGUUCCGUGUCAGAUGAGCUAAGAAUGUACAGAGAUAAAACCGACAUUUCACUACCAUGUGUAUACCCGACUCUGAUAGCGGUACCGUCAACGCCAUCGCCAAAAAUGAGCCAUGGGUACACGCUAAACACGUGACACAAUGUUUCUUCAUAACUGAUCCGAUCAAUCCCAGUCGUGUUGUCGUGAGGAGAAGCAAAAGGAGCAUCGCCGGAAUGGAUGGAGUCGCCAACGAGGAAGACUACGACCAGUACGAUGAUCCGAUGAGGGAAGAUGAUGUUGAUGACGAUGAAACAUAUGUUAAAAGAAGAAUGAAGACUACAUUCCCUACGAAAGAUCGUAAUCCCUGGAGAAGGAAAAAUCACGACCAUGGGCUCAAUUAUUCAAAAACAAACAAAAGAGGGAAGAAGAUCAGUCUGAAGUGUCGUUGUCGCCCAAGCUGAUAAACUAAUCUAUAAAUUUUGUGUGUGUCUAGCUAUUUUGUAUACCGCCGAUAGCAGUCAAAUGAUUUAAUAUAUAUUAUACUAAUUAUUAUCCGGAGCGUAACAGUGUUAUUGCUCCAGCGACAUACCAAAUUAAACCCUAGCUAGCUAGAGCUAUAUAUACCCCUGUUAUACAAACUUUGUACAAAUGCAAAUGAAAGAUAAGAAAAAGGAAAGUGCAAAUCUAUUUAUAUAUAAAAAGUACUUGACGGGGUCACCAAAAUAAAGAUAAUUGUCCUGUAAAAUCCUACAAUAAUUAGAUAUAUCCAACCUUCCCACAAAGCAUAACCAUUAGCUCUUCAUAAAGUAGAUGGGUCCAUACGUGCAACAAUGGCUUCACAUUUUGUUUCAGAAAAACAUAUCCGCUUACAAUUUGGGCCAUGACACCCAUAAUAGAGAUCGUACAGGAUGUGCCCAAACAAAUGAAAAGUACCAUAUCUCUUCGUUUCUAGAAGAACAUGUGUACAAACGGGAUUUACCCAAACAAAUCAAGACUACCAUAUCUCUUCGUUUCUCAAAAAAAAAAUACUCCAAACAGAAUAUCUGUCCAGGCUGCUACCAAAAAAGCUUUCGUUUGAUCGUGCUAUCUACAAAGGGGGUGUACAGAAACAAUUCAGAACUACCAUAUCUCUACGUUUCUAAAAAAGGACUCCAACGAAAUAUCUGUACAGGCUACGCACAAAAAAACUUUCUUUCAAUUGUGCAGAUGAGAGAAACUCAACCAUCCAUAUAAGACCUUCCCCACGACCUGAAAGGUUGCAACAUCUUCCUCCCACAUCAUCUUCUUCCAGCGACCAAAACUUCCACUCCAGAAUUAUCUUCAUAUAGCAACCACAAAACAGUUCUGUCAAGCAAACGGGAAUUGUCUUCCUCCAGCGGUGACAAGACAGUUCCGUCAAGAAAAUGAUCUACAUCAAGUAAGUUUCAUCUGCACAAAAUUAUAGAUCAUAGCUAUUAAUGGAUCAAUAAUGGUCGAAUUAUACUCUAGGCAGUCCUGAUCUAAAAAUAUUUGCCAUUACCUCCGAAGGUUGAUUAUCUACAAUCAUAUACGUGUGGGUUCCUAUAUUAAUGGUGUCAGGUUCAUAUUUUUUACUCACCUAUGAAAGGCUAAUGCCAGGGUAAUGCCAUGGAUGUUGCUUCCAGUAUUUUCACGUUAAAAUAACAUACUAUACAAGUCCAGAAUCAUACUACAAGUAUAACAUAUCCAAGUGGGAUUACUUGCUGCGAUAUAGAGAAGCAUAGAUGGUGCAUAAGGUGUUGUUCAUAAAAUAGAUUAUACCUAUUAUUGUAGAUCAGAUCUAUUAAUGGAUCAAUAAUGCUUAAUUCAUAAUGUAGGUAGUGCCACUAUAAAAAGGUUUCACAUGUUAGCUCACAAGUUUCAUCACCUAAAAACAGAUACAGAGAAACAUACAUAGAUGGUUUCCAUAUUUGAUCAGCCUCAUAUGUUAUAGUGGGUUUCUGUAGUCAUGGCAUCAGCUCCAUCUGAAACAUAAAUUAAAACCAAUUGUCAAUAAGAUUGUAUUGAUUCAUCUACUUUUAUUUCAUAUAAUCUUCUACAUAAGGUUAAUGCAAUGGAUGUUGCUUCCAGUUUUCACGUGAAGAUAAUAUACUAUAGAAGUCUACAGAAAUAAAUGGGAUUGCUUGCAUGCAUUAUAUUUCUUACUUUACUAAUGACCAUUCUGUUCUUAUAUUUAAAGGGCCUCAAAGAUUAUGGCAUAUACACCAUUGAAUGCAUUGACUACACGAAACGAGACAUGGACAAUCAAAGGUUAAGACUUUGGGACACAAUUAACUUAUCAACUAAUGAGCUCAUUAGCAUUGAUAUAAUUUUAUUGGACAAAAGGGUGCAAGUAUUACAUAUAUAAUGUAACUUCAAUUUAUCCUUUCCAAAGUUUGCUGAUCUUUUCUUUCUAUGUAGGGCCAUGCGAUCCAUGCUUCUAUUGGGAGCAAACUGGUCAAUAAAUUUAAAUCAAAAAUUAAAGAGGACUCCAUAUACAUAAUUAAGACCUUCAAAGUCUUGGAGUAUGAAAAAUACCGACCAUUGAAGAACAAUCUCAAAAUCAAUUUUGUUUAUGAUACAACAGUGAAGGAAGUGGAUGAAGGAAAAUCAAAGUUUUUGAAUUACCACUUCGAAUUUGUUGAUGGCGAUACCUUGGAUAGUAGGGUGAAUAUUGAUAAACAGUGCUCAGGUAUGAUCAUAAUCCAUAUCGAAGAACAAGCAUUGGCGAACUAGCUAGAUUUUAAAAUAUGAUUAUGUAUAGAUGUCAUUGGAUUGCUUACUGCAAUGAAACCAAUAGAGCAAGUACAAAAAAUAAAAGGGACGGGCAUGGCUCAAACUUCAAACAUCCGCGAGAUUGAAAUCCUUUUACUAGAGUAAGUGAUUCUAUUACUAUAUUUUUUUGAAUUGCAUAGAUGAUCUUUAUAUCACUUUUUGAUGAAUAAAUUCAUGCAGAGAUGAAAAGAUCCAAAUCACGCUAUGGGGGGAUAUUUUAGCAAAUACGGUGAACGAAAGUCUUUUGGACAAACAAACAAUAGUGAUUGUCACUUCAAAUUUGGUCAAAAAAUUCAAUGGUGAGAACUAGAAUCUUUUUGUGUAAACUCAAGUCCAAAUUACUGAUAAUUUGUUACCAGGGCUAUCACUACACACAACAAAUGCAUCUAAAGUCUUCCUCAACCCUGAAAUUCCAGAGGCAGACCAAAUUAUUGAGAGGUAUGCUAUAUAAUAAUGCAAUUAUGCAUGUCUUUAAAGUUACAAGUUUAUGUGCUCAUGUUGUGACCUAUUAUAGGUAUUGUGAAAGAGAUGUUAUUCCAUAUGAUUGGAAUCGAUGAAAGCACCCAAGGAACAAUUGAAGAGCAAAUGUUGUACAACAGAAAAACAUUGAGGGAAAUUAUAGAAUUGCGAUAUGCUGAUGUCCAAAGAAAGGUUUCCCUCUAACCUUGAUCAUCAUAUUGUACCUUAUUUAUUGUACAUUAGUAUGUAAUAAUCUCAUAUAUUUUCUCUUUAAUAGGAAUUUGUAUGCACAACAAAAGCAACAAUUGAUGAUAUUAUAACAGAUAAAGGCUGGUGGUACAUGGCAUGCAAACUUUGCUUUGUGCUACAAAAAAGGAACAUGAUAACUACAUUUGCACUUCCUGUCAUGAAGUAGCUCAAAAUCCAGACAAGCGGUGAGCAUGUUGUGCACUAGAUUGUCUUUGGUUCCAUUUGUUUUAAUAAUAUACCACUAAUAACUUGACAACAUCAUAUUAGGUACCUACUUAAACUGAAGGUACGCAAUGGCACGGCAACAACAACUUUCGUGGUGUUUAACGAGGUAGCAAAGAGUCUUUUAGGCAACAUAUCUGCGUCGACCCUAUUAGAGCAGGAGGGAUUCAACAACACGGUACCAGAUGUUAUUCAAAAUCUUUAUGGCAGAACACUCCUAUUCCGACUGAAGUUAAAUUCAAGGAAUCUAGAAGAGUGUAUGGAAAAUUAUAAAGUGAGCUACACUUUUGAAGUUGAUGACAAACUUGAGAUGGAAAAUUCAAAUGAAAUGGCUGAAGAGGUAUGCAUGCACAUUUGAGUAUUUUAAAUGGCUUAUAAAAUUAUAAUAUGAGCACACUCUUUAUAGGGCAUACUGGAAAUGCAAGACACACGAGGUUCUUCAAAUUCUGAUAUGCACAAUUUCCAUUACGAGGUACUCCCACUAAUUAAUGAUUUUGCUCUCACAAGUGUGCAAUUUUUGUUUUUAAAUGUUAAAAAAUAAUUUUCAUUCUUAUAGGUGAACCACUCCUCCAAGAAUGCAACAAAUGAUGAGAAGAAGGAUAUGUGCAGAAAGGAAACCUCAAUAUCAUCCAACAAAAAACAACAACGGAGGACAAAGAUACAGAAGUCUAGCAAAAGAUAUGAAAAAGAUGUGAGACCGGUUGCUUCUAGAACAGUUGUUAAAACUGAAGCUCCUGAUGAUGAGGUAACAAAUUGAAAACAUUAUCUCCCUGUAUCUGCAUUCAUAAUUGAUUUUGGCCUAUUUAUUUAUGACAUAACAAAACGCACAGGAAGAGCCAAAAACUUUUUCGCAGAAGAUAAAAGGAGAGACAAAACAAAAGAGAUGUAAGCAGGAUUUUAAAAGAAAGGCUUCGCGAAAUAAAAAAAGGUUCUUACAGAAAAAUUAAAUAAUGAGGUAUGCUUUGAAAUUACUUUACUAUUUUAUGACAUCGUUGAAAAAAAUGAAAAUGUAUUUGAAAAGGAGGUAGCAAACAUUCAAGCUACAAGUUCAGAUACAAUUACCAUAGAAGAUGAUUCUAAUAAUUACCACAGACAAAACAAGACAGAUGUCAGAAGGCCUACCAACAAGAAACUCAGAAGAGUUAUGAACAAAAUCAAAUUCAAUAGUGAGGAGAAAUGUACAUACUUUUUCUAUAUUGUUUUCAAGAUAAACACAAAGUUCUAUUGUGUUCUAAAUUGACAUAUUUUAUGUAUAGGUACAAGAUGAAGAAGAAGAAGGAGAAGAAGAAGAAGAAGAAGAAGAAGAAGAAGAAGAAGAAGAAGAAGAAGAAGAAGAAGAAGAAGAAGAAAAUGAUGUAACCGUAGAUCCAAGAUAUAACAAAGAUUUCAGAAAUGACAACCACAACGAGGGAUAUAAAAAUCCUGUGACCAAGGUUACUUCUGCGAAGCUCAAAAAAACAAUACAGAAUUAUAGAUGAAUACAUCCCACCUUAAAUAUCUAUUAACAAUAUGCUCUAUGAUGUUCAUUUAAACUACCGCCAUCUUAUAGGUACUAGAGGAAGAAAAUGACAUAGAUGAUGAUUCCGACAAUGAAGAAACCAAUAAUGAGGUAAUAUCAAAUAAAAGGAAAAGGAUUUAAUUUUAAAUAUAUUAUUUCCAAAAUAUAAAAUCAUUGUAUGAAAUAAUAAUCCAUUAGUGUAUUGGUCAUUUCCUACUUUAGUCUAAUAUUAUGUAUGCAUUUCAUCAUAUAUGUAUUACAUAAUACAUUAUUAAAUUCCCACAUUCUAUGUUAUAGGUACAAGAGGAAGGAAAUGACACAGAUGGUGAUCUCACAAUUGAAGAAAGUACAAGAAUGAACAAGGUAAAUACGUUGAUGAUAUACAAGCUUAAUAUCUACCAUGAAUUUAGAGAAAUUUACAAAUGUUUCAUUAAUAACAUUGUUUUUGCAUAUAUGCAGGGAGACAACAAUAGUCAUGCCGACAACUGUACCAUCAAAGGUGACAGUGAUGAAGAAUGGAACGCCAAAACUAGAAGCAAAAUUGGAAGGGAUCGAGAAGAGGUGUCUAGAGGGGGGGGUGAUUAGACACUAAGUACCAAAAAUUGCAGUUUUUAACUUCUUUAAGUUUAAGUGCAGUUUAGGCACAAGUUUAACACUCACAAUACAGAACAAGAAAGCAUGCAAAGAGAAUAUGAGCAGCGAAAAGUAAAGCAUGCAACUUGCAAGGAUGUAAAGGGAAGGGAUUGGAGGAUUCAAACACAACUGGAGACACGGAUGUUUUUGUCGUGGUUCCGAUAGGUGGUGCUAACGUACAUCCACGUUGAUGGAGACUUCAACCCACGAAGGGUAACGGUUGCGCGAGUCCACGGAGGGCUCCACCCAUGAAGGGUCCACGAAGAAGCAACCUUGUCUAUCCCACCAUGGCCGUCGCCCACGAAGGACUUGCCUCACUAGCGGUAGAUCUUCAUGAAGUGGGCGAUCUCCUUGCCCUUACAAACUCCUUGGUUCAACUCCACAAUCUUGUCGUAGGCUCCCAACUGACACCUAGCCAAUCUAGGAGACACCACUCUCCAAGAAGUAACAAAUGGUGUGUUGAUGAUGAACUCCUUGCUCUUGUGCUUCAAAUGAUAGUCUCCCUAACACUCAACUCUCUCUCAUAGGAUUUGGAUUUGGUGGAAAGAAGAUUUGAGUGGAAAGCAACUUGGGGAAGCCUAGAGAUCAAGAUUCAUAUGGUAGGAAUGGAAUAUCUUGGCCUCAACACAUGAGUAGGUGGUUCUCUCUCAAAAAAUGUAUGCUGGAAGUGUAGGUUCGUUCUGAUGGCUCUCUCUACGAAUGAAGAGGAGGUGGAGGGGUAUAUAUAGCCUCCACACAAAAUCUAAUCGUUACACACAACUUGCCAAACUCGAUGGGACCGAAUUGGUAAACUCGGUCAGACCGAUUCGGUAAAUCUAGUGACCGUUAGGAUUUUCGGUGGGACCGACAUGCAACUCGGUAGGACCGAUAUGGUUAGGGUUAGGGCAUAACUUAAUCUCGGUGAGACCGAUUACACAAACUCGGUAGGACCGAUUUUGGUAAUAAGCUAACCAGAGAGUUGGUCAGGAAAACUCGGUUUGACCGAUUACACAAACUCGGUAGGACCGAUUUUGGUAAUAAGUUAACCAGAGAGUUUGCAUUGUAAUCUCGGUAGUACCGAUUACUCUAACUCGAUAGGACCGAUUUUGGUAAUGGACAUACACAGAGAGAUUACAAUCCCAUCUCGGUGAGACCGAGAUCCCUAUCGGUGAGACCGAUUUGCCUAGGGAUUGUGGCAGUGGCUAAGACAUCUGAACUCGGUGGCGUUGGGUGGAAAGCAUCGGUAGGGCCGAGUUAGACUUUUGGGUUUAGGACAUAUGUGGAUGUGAGAAAGUAGUUGAGGGCUUUGGAGCAUAUCACUAAGCACUUUGAGCAAGCAAGCCAUUAAGCAACACCUCAUCCCCUCUUGAUAGUAUUGGCUUUUCCUAUAGACUCAAUGUGAUCUUGGAUCACUAAAAUAGAAAAUGUAGAGUCUUGUUCUUGAAGCUUGAGCCAAUCCUUUGUCCUUAGCAUCUUGAAGGGUUUCCACAUCCUUUAGUCCAUGCCACUCCAUUGUUGAGCUUGUUUGAAACAUACUAGGUAAAAGUGUUAGUCCAACAAGAGAUAUGUUGACAUUCAUUACCAAAAUCACCCAGGGAGCACUUGUUCUUUCAGUCUCCCCCUUUUUGGUAAUUGAUGACAACAUACAUCAAAGCUUUAGAUAAAGAUAUAGAGAAUAGCAAGUAAAGCUUUGGAAAGACGUGUAACAUGCAUAGGCUCCCCUACAUGUAUGUGAAUAUGGAAUAUAGGAGCAUGUGAAUGCAUAAGCAUGAUAGAGUAGGCAAUGUGUUACAUGUAUCUUGGUUAUAUGCAUCAGAGCAACAAAUGUGAAUAUGGGAAAUGUACCUUCAUGCUCAUGAGUCCUUUGCAAACAGUAUGUACAUCAGCAAGAACUCCUCAUACACAUGACUAUGAUGCAUAUACUUACCUUGUGGUCUUGAGUUGGCUUAGGAUGGAAUGAACCUGCGUAAACAAGGUUAGAUAACACAGAUACACCUACUAGCCAGAGCAAAAAAAAGGAACCACAAGAGUACCAAGACUGGGAUGACAUGUAGAGAGUGAGUACUAAGUACCAUAUUGAAUAUGGACAUGUCCCCAAAGGUAAAGAUGUGCAAUGAAUUUAAAGAUUUUAUUUCCCUUAGAUGUCUUGCUCCCCCUGAAUCUAGCAUGGGAUACUGGGAGAAGAUAGGGAACAGAAAAUCAGAGCAAAAUGCAAAAUCAAAGCUCAAAGAAACAAAUGAAUAGAGCUAAUGCAAAUAAGCACAUAUGAAUAUGUCUUCCUCCCCAAGAAGACAUGUGGCAUCUCUCCUCUUGAACACCAAGCAUCUGGGAUCCUUGAAGAUUACUCUCUUCUUGAGUAUUCUCUCCCCCUGGAGAUAUCUCUCUCCCCCUGUUGAAGUGAUAAGCUUUGAUGUGAUCUCUCUCUCCCCCUUUGACAUCAAUUUCCAAGAAGGGUCUGCUGGAAUUUGUCGUAAAUGGAUUUGGUCCUUGAGUCACAGCACAAUGCAUUGAUAAAAAUGUGAUGCUUGUAGAGGAAAAGAUUCAUUGAGUGGUGCUAAAAAUAAUAAUGCAGUGGCAAAAUGUUUUUCUUGUUGUGAAAUCGGUGGCACCGAGUUGGAUGCUUCGGUUGCACCGAAAGGAUUUGGUUAGACCGAAAACAUCAAACCGGUGAGACCGAGUUCAUCGCAGAGAAAACACUUGUCACCUCAAUUCACUAGACAAGUAAGAUCUCACAAGGAUUUGCAAUGAAUUGGAUGCAGGGAAUGCAGAACAGAAUAGAAAAAAGAAAUCUAGAUGAAGUUUUUUUGGGUAGGGGAAACAAAUAUGCAUGAGACAAAUGCAAGAGCAUAGAAAAGAACACGAGAGAACUUCAUCUAGAAUUGGUCGGCGACAAAGUCACCUAUGUUAGAGUAUAUUGACUUAGGAGUCAAGUGAGAUCACUUGAUCAUAGGUCAUACUCAUCGUUUAAGCUCAAAAUGGGGUUACCAUUUUUCGUUUAAGCAUCUUGAUGUAUUCACAUCUUGUCGAGUUGCUUUGACUCAUGACUUGGAGUAAAGCUCCUCUAAGAUGGAAUAACAUACCUUGGGUGGUGGUGUUGAUUGUGAUCACGUAGUUGAACUUGUGUGGGUUGCUCAAGGUUGAUGUAGCUCAUCAAGAGUUUGGAGCACCACUUGGAAUUUGAGUUCACCUACCCACAUGGGUUAGUUUUUGCAAGGAAGAGCACUUGUGUAUCCCAAAAGACAAUCAUGAAGCUUAACAUAGAAUUUGUCAAAGGAUAUGUUUGAAUGGUUUCGUGCUUCCUUGUCUUCGACCACCAUUGUGUAGAGACUUGGUGAUGUAGAGAUUCCUCAAGAUGUGAGAGAGUUGCAAUCCCAUAGAUUUAAAUUCAUCCAAGGACCUACAUGGGUUAGAUAACAUGCAAGGUGCAAAUAUACCCACGACAUAAGAUUAUCAUCAUAAGAGAAAUAUCAAGGAUUAGUCAUAAGCUCAUGUCUUGCAUGUAUCCAAUGGAGUUCCUACUCCAAGUUUGAAGCAUUAAUGAUGUUCAAUUCACCUCUUAACCUGCAAAACACUCUCUCAUCAAGUGGUUUAGUGAAUAUAUCCGCUAAUUGCUUUUCGGUGCGAACAUGCUUAAGAUUAAUGUCACCCUUAGCAACAUGAUCUCGAAUGAAAUGAUGACGAACUUCAAUAUGCUUAGUUCGAGAAUGUUGCACGGGAUUGUGAGCGAUCUUGAUAGCACUUUCAUUGUCACAAAGUAAUGAAACAUGUUUCACAUAUAUCCCAUAAUCUUUAAGAGUUUGGGUCAUCCAUAGUAAUUGAGCACAACAUGAACCAGCGACAAUGUAUUCCGCUUCGGCGGUGGACAAGGAUACCGAGUUUUGUUUCUUGGAAGACCAAAACACAAGAGAUCUACCAAGAAAUUGACAAGUACCCGAAGUGGACUUUCUAUCAACCUUGUCACCGGCAUAGUCCGAGUCGGACUAGCCAACAAGAUCGAAAGAGGCCCUCUUAGGAUACCAAAUGCCAAAAUUAGGUGUAUGGAUUAAGUAUCUCACUAUCCUUUUCACGACCUUAAGAUGACAUUCUUUAGGAGCAGCUUGAUAUCGUGCACACAUGCACACACUUAGCAUGAUAUCGGGACAUGAAGCACAUAGAUAUAACAAUGAACCAAUCAUAGAGCGAUAAACCUUUUGAUCGACCGGUUCACCAUCUUUGGUCAAAUCAAGAUGUCCACUAGUAGGCAUGGGUGUAGUCAUACCUUUGCAUUCCUGCAUAUUGAACUUCUUGAAUAAGUCCUUGGUGUACUUCGUUUGAGAGACAAAGGUACCUUCCUUAGUUUGCUUGAUUUGCAAACCAAGAAAGAAUUUGAUUUCACUCAUCAUAGACAUCUCAAACUUCUCCGACAUUAGCUUUCCAAACUUUUCACUAAAAUGAGGGUUAGUAGAACCAAAUAUAAUAUCAUCAACAUAAAUUUGGCACACAAAUAGUUCUCCAUUGACCCUUUUAGUAAAAAGAGUAGAAUCUAUUUUUCCAAUUUCAAAGCCUUUUUCAAUAAGGAACUUGGUCAAGCAUUUAUACCACGCUCUAGGAGCUUGUUUAAGACCAUAAAGAGCUUUGUAAAGUUUGUAAACAUGAUCAGGUUUCUUAGGAUUAACAAAGCCGGGAGGUUGUUUAACAUAAACUUCCUCCUCUAUUUCACCAUUUAGAAAAGCACUUUUAAUAUCCAUUUGGUACAAGGUGAUAUCAUGGUGAUUAGCAUAGGCAAGUAAGAUGCGAAUGGACUCAAGUCUAGCAACGGGAGCAUAAGUCUCACCAUAGUCCAUACCUUCGACUUGUGUGUAGCCUUGGGCGACGAGAUGUGCUUUGUUGCGAACUACUUGUCCAUCUUCAUCUUGCUUGUUGUGAAACACCCAUUUGGUACCGAUGAUGUUGUGGUUGUUGUCGGGCUUCUCAACCAAUGUCCAAACUUGAUUUCUCUCAAAGUUGUGUAGCUCUUCAUGCAUGGCAUUUAUCCAAUCCGGAUCUUCCAAUGCUUCUUCAACCUUCAUAGGUUCAAUGCUAGAGAUGAAUGAAUAGUGCUCACAAAAGUUAGCUAAACGAGUUUUAGAGCGAGUGAUUCUCCCGGUUUGGAUAUCAUUGUAGAUUUUCUCGACGGGAUGGUCUUUAGAAAUUCUUGCUCGAACUCUUGUCAGCUUUUGCUUGGGUCUUGGUUGAACAUCUUCUUCAUCUUGUUCUUCUUCUUGGCCUUCUUCAUUGUUGGCGUUGUCGUUCUCUUGUCGUGGUGGAGAAGGAGGUUGUUGACGUUCGUCUUGGUGCACUUCCUCGUUUUCUUCAUCUUGGUGUGUCCCACUUGUGGAUGCUUCCGUAUCAACUCUUGGUUAACCUUGUCGUGAGGUAGAAGCUUCCACUUAGACGGAUGAGGUACUCUCCUUCACCUCCGUUGGACUAAUCUUUCCAAUAGACAGGUCUUGAAUUGCUUCCGAGGGGUCUUUGUCUCCUACAUCAAUUGGCAAUUGCUCUACUUGCGAGCCGUUAGAUUCAUCAAACUUCACAUCUACCGUUUCUUCAACCUUUCAGGUGAAAUUGUUGUAGACACGGUAUGUGUGAGAGUUUGAGCCAUAACCAAGUAGGAAACCUUCAUGAGACUUAGGAGCAAAUUUAGAACAACGAUGCUUAUCAAGAAUGUAGCACUUUGAGCCAAAUACUCGAAAGUAUCCAACUUGGGGUUUGUUACCGGUGAGAAGCUCGUAUGCCGUCUUGCCGAGUAGCUUGUGAAGAUACAAGCGAUUUGUUGCAUGACAAGCUAUCUCAACCGCUUCCGCCCAAAAGUGCUUCGGCGUCUUUUACUCAUCAAGCAUCGUUCUCGCCAUUUCGAUGAGCGUCCGGUUCUUCCUCUCAACAACUCCAUUUUGUUGAGGUGUGUACGUAGCCGAGAACUCGUGUGAAAUCCCUUCUUCGUCAAGAAAGGUGUCCACAUUUGCGUUCUUGAAAUCCGUUCCGUUGUCGCUGCGAACCUUCUUGAUCUUCACUUCAAAUUGAUUUUGAGCCUUCCUAGCGAAGUUUUUGAAGAUCUUCUGAACCUGUGAUUCAUCAUCGAGAAAGAACACCCACGUAAAUCUUGAAAAGUCAUCAACUAUAACUAGAUCAGAAGAAUUUCCACCGAGACUUUUGUAAGCGUUGGGACCAAAGAGAUCCAUAUGAAGUAGCUCGAGAUGCCUCCUUGUGGUCAUGAUGUUCUUCACGGUAUGCCUUCCUCCAACCUGUUUACCUGCCUGACAAGCACUGCAAAGUCUAUCCUUAUCAAAUAUGACAUUGAUAACUCCAAGGAUAUGAUUUCCUUUAAUAAGCUUGUCAAGGUUUCGCAUGCUAACAUGACCCAAUCGUCUAUGCCAUAACCAACCUUUAGAGGAUUUAGCAAUAAAACAAGUUCUAGGUUGAGCCUUUUUAGUGAAAUCAACAAUGUAUAGAUCACCUCUACGCACAUCGGUAAAGACCAUUUUAUGAUUAUCUCUACGAAACACUUGGCAAUCUACUUCAGUAAAUAGGACAUUGAAACCGAAAUCAGCAAGUCUAGAUACUGAAAGUAAGUUGUAGCCAAGAGAUUCAACGAUCAUGACAUUUUGUAUGGAGCUAUCAUGUGAUAUGGCCACCUUACCGAGGCCAACCACCUUACCCUUUGAGUUGUCACCGAAAGUGACAUACUUUUGAGGACCAUUGUUUUCAGCAAGCUCCCGAAACAUGUCUUUAUCUCCGGUCAUGUGAUCGGUACAUCCACUAUCAAGAACACAUUCCUUUCCUCCUGCCAUAUAACCCCGAAGAUUUGCCAUAAGACCAAAUUGUCUCAUUGCAUCAUCAAGAUCGAAGUCACUAUCAUCAUCCUCACCAUAGUAUCCAUGUUCAACAUCGUCAUGUGGUGGAUCAAAUCCUAGAGAGGGUGAUUCGUUAGAGUGAGUUUGACAAUGAUCUUGCUUAUGAAUUUUUAUAGCUUCAGAAAUAAUAUCACUAAUAAUUCCAACAUCUCCUUUGGCACGCAUAAGGUUUGUAAGCUCAAACAAACAAUCACCAAACAUAGGAUCACUAGAAUUCAUCUUACUCAAGGCAAUAGACUUAUGGAGAAUUUCAUCAAGAUUUUUCAAGGAAUAAUUUGGAAAACGUUCCUCAAGAAGUUUCCAUAUGGUGUAGGCACACUUAAGAGUAGGCAAACAUCCAAUCAAGUUUCUAGGCAAGCCUCUAGUGAUAAGUUCAACAGUUCUAAGAUUGUGAAUCAUGUCAAUUGACUCAUCAAGAGUAGGAUGCAUAGGAUCAAUAUGAGGUGCACAAGGGCUAGCAAUGUACUUGUUCAAAUGAUAUUGAUUGAAAAUCACAAGCAUCUCAUUUUUCCACUCAUGAAAGUACUCUCCAUCAAGUAUAGGCACUCUAUGUCUAAGACUCCCAAUAGUAGACUCAUCCAUCUUCCUCCAAUGGUGUUUAAACCAAAGCAAUGGAGACCAAAGCUCUGAUACCAAUUGAAAGGGAUCGAGAAGAGGUGUCUAGAGGGGGGGGGGNNNNNNNNNNNNNNNNNNNNNNNNNNNNNNNNNNNNNNNNNNNNNNNNNNNNNNNNNNNNNNNNNNNNNNNNNNNNNNNNNNNNNNNNNNNNNNNNNNNNNNNNNNNNNNNNNNNNNNNNNNNNNNNNNNNNNNNNNNNNNNNNNNNNNNNNNNNNNNNNNNNNNNNNNNNNNNNNNNNNNNNNNNNNNNNNNNNNNNNNNNNNNNNNNNNNNNNNNNNNNNNNNNNNNNNNNNNNNNNNNNNNNNNNNNNNNNNNNNNNNNNNNNNNNNNNNNNNNNNNNNNNNNNNNNNNNNNNNNNNNNNNNNNNNNNNNNNNNNNNNNNNNNNNNNGGGGGGGGGGUGAUUAGACACUAAGUACCAAAAGUUACAGUUUUUAACUUCUUUAAGUUUAAGUGGAGUUUAGGCACAAGUUUAACACUCACAAUACAUAACAAGCAAGCAUACAAAGAGUAUAUGAGCAGCAAAAAGUAAAGCAUGCAACUUGUAAGAAUGUAAGGGAAGGGAUUGGAGGAUUCAAACGCAAUUGGAGACACGGAUGUUUUUGUCGUGGUUCCGAUAGGUGGUGCUAUCGUACAUCCAUGUUGAUGGAGACUUCAACCCACGAAGGGUAACGGUUGCGCGAGUCCACGGAGGGCUCCACCCACGAAGGGUCCACAAAGAAGCAACCUUGUCUCACUAGCGGUAGAUCUUUACGAAGUAGGCGAUCUCCUUGCCCUUACAAACUCCUUGGUUCAACUCCACAAUCUUGUCGGAGGCUCCCAAGUGACACCUAGCCAAUCUAGGAGACACCACUCUCCAAGAAGUAACAAAUGGUGUGUUGAUGAUGAACUCCUUGCUCUUGUGCUUCAAAUGAUAGUCUCCCCAACACUCAACUCUCUCUCACGGGAUUUGGAUUUGGUGGAAAGAAGAUUUGAGUGGAAAGCAACUUGGGGAAGGCUAGAGAUCAAGAUUCAUAUGGUAGGAAUGGAAUAUCUUGGCCUCAACACAUGAGUAGGUGGUUCUCUCUCAGAAAAUGUAUUGCUGGAAGUGUAGGUUUGUUCUGAUGGCUCUCUCUACGAAUGAAGAGGAGGUGGAGGGCUAUAUAUAGCCUCCACACAAAAUCUAGCUGUUACACACAACUUGAUUUACUCGGUGGGACCGAAUUGGUAAACUCGGUCAGACAGAUUCAGCAAAUCUAGUGACCGUUAGGAUUUUCGGUGGGACCGACAUGCAACUCGGUUGGACCGAUAUGGUUAGGGUUAGGGCAUAACUUAAUCUUGGUGAGACCGAUUACACAAACUCGGUAGGACCGAUUUUGGUAAUAAGCUAACCAGAGAGUUGGUCAGACAAACUCGGUUUGACCGAUUACACAAACACGGUAGGACCGAUUUUGGUAAUAAGUUAACCAGAGAGUUUGUAUUGUAAUCUCGGUAGUACCGAUUACUCAAACUCGGUAGGACCGAUUUUGGUAAUGGACAUACACAGAGAGAUUACAAUCUCAUCACGGUGAGACCGAGAUCCCUAUCGGUGAGACCUAUUUGCCUAGGGUUUGUGGCAGUGGCUAAGACAUCUGAACUCGGUGGCGCCGGGUGGAAAGAAUCGGUAGGGCCGAGUUAGACUUUUGGGUUUAGGACAUAUGUGGAUGUGAGAAAGUAGUUGAGGGCUUUGGAGCAUAUCACUAAGCACUUUGAGCAAGCAAGCCAUUAAGCAACACCUCAUCCCCUCUUGAUAGUAUUGGCUUUUCCUAUAGACUCAAUGUGAUCUUGGAUCACUAAAAUAGAAAAUGUAGAGUCUUGUUCUUGAAGCUUGAGCCAAUCCUUUGUCCUUAGCAUCUUGAAGGAUUUCCACAUCCUUUAGUCCAUGCCACUCCAUUGUUGAACUUGUCUGAAACAUACUAGGUAAAAGUGUUAGUCCAACAAGAGAUAUGUUGACAUUAAUUACCAAAAUCACCCAGGGAGCACUUGUGCUUUCAAAAAUAAGGAAGGAAAGGACCGAUUGCAUAAAGAAGAGGGAAAAACCAUCUGAACACAUCCAGUAAACCUUACAUGAUAGACCAAAGAGGAUUAGGAGGGAGCCAGAGAGAUACAUGGGCUAGGCAUGAGCAACAAGUGCUUAAGUACGAUAGCUGGAAGAAGUGAAGAUUGCACUACACACUAUAUACUUAGUAGUAGUUUGCCUUGAUAUACAAUUAUGUUUACUUUAUGCUAUAGGAGAGCAUGGUUUGAAGUUAUCAUAUGUACUAAGACAUAUACUUCAAUUAUUUUUAGUCACACUCGCUUGUGUCGUCUUUAGCAUAUACCUCAUUCAACACUAAAAGCGCCCUUAAAGAAAUAAAUAUUGUCUUACUUUUAAGUAUUGAAGAAAAUCGAAGGAGGCAUACCCAACUGGACAUGUAGAUCCAUAGCAUGCUUGGAACACAAACGUUCCCGAAAAAACACCUCAAGAUUGACAAAUGCCUUUCUUACUCUUCAUGUCAGUCAUGAUAUCACCUGUCCAAAUCAAAUAAAUAAAUAAAAUCUAAACAAGAGAAUAAACUAACUUACUACUCCCUCCGUCUAAAAAUAAGUGUCAACUUUGUAUCAACGGAUGUACAAAGUUGUACUAAAGUUGAGACACUUAUUUUGGGACGGAGGGAGUAUAAAAUAGACUAAAGAAAAACUAUUAGGGAUUACUGUAAUACUUCUAAAUGGUUGUUGGCUUGGAUGCUCGGCCAUGUAUAAAUCGUGAACAUCAUCGUACGAACCAUGCCAUUGGUCGCUUCUCCAUCUCCAUUUGCUAUUUUUAACAAGCUGAAUUCAAAGACACACACCGCAUGGUGACGCACAAGAUGCGCUGGUCAUGGUUUUUGAGUCGCUGAUUAGUCGCUGUAUAGUCGCCGACUAAUCGCCAAGUCGUUUUUCAAAAAUCAGGGCGACUCGCCAAGUCGCGACUCAAAAACCUUGGCGCUGGUAAAGUAUAGAUUAUGACCUAAGAGGUUAUGGAUUGGGAAUAGUUGUAUUUUAGAGAAGAGAGAGAGAGAGAGAGAUGGUGCAUGUUACGUUGGUUUCUGGGGAAACAAUAAGGACUGAUGUGACUCGACCUAGACAUGUGGCCAAAAAAAACCCAUGAAACAACACUUCCACGCUGCUAAGUCCAGGAUGGCCCAAUUUAAAAGCACGUUGGAUUAGAGUCUAGUACGUAAACACACGUAACAAGAAUACCUUAAGAGAUCGUACAUAACUAGGUUAAAGAAAGAAGAGACAUGCCUAUAUAAACAACUGCCGUGGCAUAAAUAGACCUAAAACUCAAUCUCUUCUCAGGAACACCAACAAAAUCGGCAGAACAUACGCUUUCAAUUCAAGGUACGACAACACAGUCAAACAACUUCUAAAUUCAGGUAUGAUUCUUCUCCCUCUCUCUUAAUCCUUAGUUACAAUCUUAUUCUAGCAUGCUACUCUACUAUAUUUUGGGGUUGUGUGGCGGCUCCCAUAGGGCUAAAGUCAAUUAAGAAGCACAGGGCACUGCAGUAUGGAAUUCACUUGCAGUUUAUAGAUCAGAUGAGGGUUCCCGUAAUAUUUAGCAUCACUACCUCAUUAAAUUUGUCCAAAAAGAAACCUCAUUAAUCAGGUAUACCACAAUGUUUGUACUAAGAAAUACUCACAAUGUUUAGAUUGCUUCAAAAUGUUUGUCCAAAAGAAAUUUGUCCAAAAUUCAGUCAUUAGAUUGCUUCGGUCAGCUUGUACUAAGAAAUACUCACAAUGUUUAUGUACCACAAAGAGAUUGGAACAUAAAAUCCUCUUUAUCAGUAAAUAUUUCUGCAAAAUCACUGGUCUUGAAAAUCUAUCUCCUUUACUUAUACAACGGAAAAUUUAUUUUAUAAGGUGAUGAAAGGUAAUAAAAAUAGUGAAUCUUCAUAAAUUUGUUUUAUACCAUUGUGACAAGCGGGGCCGACGACCAAAGUCUCAAGUGCGAGCGCAAUGUACUCCCCUGUACAACAAGCACAUAAAUCUUAAUCGUCGUCCAUAGCCCAACCAAACCAUGAUUUAUCUGUAACAAUAAUAUAAUAUCAUUCACUUAGGUUUACAUUUGAACUCUCCAUUAUGCAGGAAGACAACAUGAAAAGAAAACGUGGGCCACAUAGCAAGGAAUGUGAGAAACCUGCCAAGGUCGUUAAAACAAAUCAAAUAUGCACUCCAACAAGGUGAUCCAUUACUAAUAUUGACUAUUUUAUAUGUGCUAUACUAGUAAUUUUUAAAAAACAAAGCAAUUCCAGUUAGGCACGCUGAGGUUCCUAAUUGUGUAGCUUCCACGAGAAAAACUAUAUUUUAAUUUUUAUCUUAUUGAUGCAAAUCCAGAGAAUCAGCAAAGAUCACAAGAUCGGAAAGGGUAAUGAAACUUCAAGAAAAGAAAAACAGACAAUCUUCAAUGAUACAUGGAGGUCUGCCAGACUCCGCGGACACACACAAAGGACAACCUUUGCUCCAUGUGAAGUAAGAAAAUCUUCACGAACUUUCUCUCUUAUGCUGUUACGCAUCUUAUCAUCCAUUUGGUUUAAUUAUAAUUCUCAAUUCAAAUGCUAAAAUUUAACAUUAAUGAUGCACAUCAUACAGCAAGAAACAUUAUGUACCUUUCUUAUGCUAUCCACAUCUACUCUGCUAUUUAUGUGCUGAAAUCUUCAAGCGCACUAAUUUAGAAUGGUCCAUCAAAUCUCAAAAAAUGAUAUACGUAUCAAUGAACUAUAGCCAACGCAAAAAAAUGUUAAAGUAACACAAGGAGUAAUAAAUUCAUUCUGCCAGACAAAAAAUAAUCUGUUAUUUAUACUAAUUAGUAUUUAUGUUUAUGCAGGGGAAGUAACUCAACAGAAAAAGCAAAAGAGGCAAGACUACAUAGGAAAAGAAUAAUGCAAACCAAGAGGCUUGCACAACCAUCGACAAAAGAAGGAGAAAUGAUUGGUCAGGCUGGUAAUACUAUGAGGUAAGGAACAAGAAAUUACAAUCAAGCUCUAAAAUUUGGAGUUUCAUAAAUCCGAUAUUUUCUGCUAUGUACGUGUACAGCUCAAAAAGUAAUAAAAUGUCUACUACAUCGAAAUCGGUGAGAAAGAAACAAAGACAACAUUUGUAAGUUAUAUCAACUUUUUAUAGUAUCAACAACACCAGACAUUAAUAAUAUUUCAAUUUAUGCUAAAUCCAAAACUUGAACAGGCAAUCAGAGAGGACUCAUAUGGAAAAUUGGAACUUUGGAAAACCCAAAUGCAAGUGUGAAUGACGCGGUGCAAUUUUCUGGUACGAAGAAAGAACUUCAGGUAGAGCGAAAAGCAUGCCAUCUUUUGGACUAUGCUGCCAACAUGGCAAGGUUGAGUUGCCACCAUUAAGAGAGCCACCGACUUACCUAGCGAAAUUGCUAAGGAAAGACAACGAAAAGAUGUCAAAACAUUGCUUGCAGAAUAUCAGAUUGUACAACUCCAUGUUCGCUUUCACAACAAUGGGAGGAAAAGUAGACAAAGAAAUAAACAAUGGCAAUGGGCCAUAUGUUUUUAGAAUGAAUGGGCAGAACUACCACAGAAUAGGUACUCUAUUGCCUGAAGGUAAAGAUAAACCACGUUGGGCACAACUGUACAUCUAUGACACUGAAAAUGAGGUAAGAAACAGGAUUAAUGCUUCGACAAGGGAAGAUAAAAGGGAGUCAAUAGAUCCUCACAUCGUAGAGGGCCUUAAAAAUAUGUUUGAUCAAGAUAACAUACUUGCAAAAAAAUUCAGAAUGGCAAGGGACAGAUUCGAAGAAGGUGACUAUCAAAACGUGAGAUUAAAACUAAUCAAUAAGCGACAAUCAGAUGGAAGACGAAGUGACAUGCCAUCUGCAUGGGAAGUUGCAGCCUUGAUUGUCAAUGAUGCCACGGAAAGUAGAAAAGGACGGGAUAUCAUUGUUGAGUACAAAAACAUGAAGCCAAGAAGAAUAUCAGAGAACCAUCCAAAAUUCAUGGCUAUGCAGUAUCCACUAUUAUUCCCCUAUGGAGAAGAUGGGUACAGACAAAAUAUACCUUACAUAUUAAAACAAGGUGCAAAAUGUAAGAGAAAGCAUGUAACAAUGUUGGAAUACUAUGCAUAUUGUCUACAACAACGUACUAACCAAUCGAUGCACUUGCUGAUGUGUGAAAAGCUUACAUUGCAGUUCAUUGUGGACGCCCUUGCAUGCAUUUUGCAGUACAGACUGGACUGGAUCAAAAAUCAUCAAGGAAACCUAAGAACGGAAUUAUAUGCUGGCUUACAGGAUGCAAUAGAAAGAGGAGAUACAAGGGCUGACCAAGUAGGAAAAAGGAUACUGCUGCCAUCCACUGUCACAGAUAGUCCUAGAUACAAAGCACAAAACUUCCAAGAUGCUAUGGCAAUAUGUCGGUGGGCUGGAUACCCAGACCUAUUUGUGACAUUCACGUGCAACGCAGCUUGGCCGGAGAUUGAGGCUAUGCUACACGAAGUGGCCCAAACAGCAUACGAAAGGCCUGAUAUUGUUGAUCGAGUAUUCCACAUAAAGCUCAAGGAGUUCAUGAGAGAUAUAAGAGAAAGGGAAUACUUCGGAAAAACACUCGCAAGUAAUAUAUCAUCCUGAAUUUAUCAAACAUAUUAUUUAACUGCAUGAACUAACUGUUAUUUUAUAAAAUUGCAGUUAUAUACACAAUAGAGUUUCAAAAAAGAGGCCUCCCACAUGCCCACAUAGUCAUAUUCCUCGACAAAAAGGAAAAGAAACACAAGUAUCCAGAGCCAUCAGAGGUAGAUAGAGUAACUUGCGCAGAGAUACCAGACAAGGAAAUUGACCCGGAAGGAUAUGCAGCUGUCGAAAACUACAUGAUGCACGGGCUAUGUGGUGCAGCAAACACAAAGUCACCAUGCAUGGUCGACAGCAGAUGCAUAAGAAAGUUCCCAAAAAAUACAACAACAAUACCACUAUCGAUAAAGAUGGAUACCCAGUAUAUAGAAGACGAGACGAUGGAAGAUUCAUACAGAAAGGGGAAGUAAAGUUGGAUAACAGAUACGUAGUCCCAUACAACAGAAAUCUGCUGGUGAAAUAUCAAGCACAUAUAAAUGUCGAGGUGUGCAACAGAUCUUUAUCCAUAAAAUACCUUUUUAAAUACAUAAAUAAAGGUGAUGACCAAGCAACAAUACUAAUAGAAAACGAUGAGAUAAAAAGGUACCUAGAAUGCACAUAUAUAACAGGGAAUGAUGCGUGUUGGAGAAUAUUUCAGUUCGAAAUGCACUUCAGAGAUCCCUGCGUCGAAAGGUUGCCUUUCCACCUGGAAAAUGAGCAGCAAGUAAUUUUCUCAGAUUCUACAGAUUUAACCAAGAUCGUCAGGAAAGAAAGAGUAGGAAUCACUAAAUUUACACAGUGGAUGGAGACAAACAAGAUGUGUGAACAAGCCAGAGAAUUAACAUAUGCAGAAUUCCCGUCAAAAUGGGUGUGGAAAAAGAAAGAGACAAAGUGGAGCAAAAGGAAGAAAGGAAGAUCAGUUGGAAGGAUAUAUUAUGCCCAUCCAGCAAGCGGAGAAAAAUACUAUAUGCGAAUGCUACUUAACGUCAAGAAAGGAUGCACAUGUUUCGAAGACAUAAGAACAGUAAAUGGAGUUGUCCACGCAUCAUACAAAUCUGCUUGUGAAGCACUAAGAUUUCUUGAUGAUGACAAAGAGUGGCUUGAGUGCAUCAAGGAGGCAUCAAAUUGGGCGACUGGCAACCAGCUAAGGCAGCUAUUCACAACAAUUUUAAGCCACUGCGAAGUCACAUGCCCAAAAAAACUGUGGGAAUCAUGCUCGGAGGUAUUAAGUGAAGACAUGGAGUACAAACAGAGAAAAUUAUUGAACUAUCCUACACUAUGCCUCACAGAAUCACAGAAGCAAGGACACGCCUUGGUGGAAAUAGAGAAGCUCAUGAGACAAGCUGGAAGAACACUUAAGGAAUACCCUGGAAUAGAACUUCCUGAAUCUUCGGAAAUAAAGGAACUUGGAAACAAGCUACUCAAUGAAGAAAUUGAUUACAACAAAGAGCAACAAAAUGAAGAGCAUUUGAAGAUCUUUGGUAGUCUCAACUAUGAACAACGUCUUGCAUUUGACUCAAUAAUGGAAUCUGUUGACAAUGAUUUGGGAAAACAAAUUUUUGUGGACCGAUAUGGUGGGACAGGUAAGACAUACCUAUGGAA
rnacentral:lncRNA from 1 species